rnacentral:lncRNA from 1 species
GGAAGGAUGGUAAGAUUUUUACUAUUUGUCCUCAGUGCAUCUUUUCCAUACAUUAUUUUUGAAGCUAAACUUCAUUGCUAAGUAUGUUACCAUACGAUGUUCUUCAACAGGGACUCCCGAUGAAUGUUGUGCCUUAUAGGAUUGAGACUAAAGGUACCAUGAGUAUCAUUAGCUUACGGCCAAGAUAUCCUACAGAUUACUUUAGUGCAUUCAAGAUUAGCGACGGAUGCUUAAUAGUGCAAGACUGGACCAAAUAUGUGAUGGGGGAGCGCAGAGAAGUACUAGGGGGCAGGAAACAGAUGUGCUACCCACGAUUAGGAGACAGGUUCAUCUGCAUGCUCCAACUUGAUCAAGGAGGAGAGCUACACAUGUUUUAUGUUAUUUUACCUAAGAGAGAGCAGCAGGAGUGAUUAGCUAGCUAGAAAUGAGUUUGAGGAUGAUGAUGUGCUACACUAUUACUAUGAUGAUAAAAAGCUAGUGUUGGUGGUAAUGACUAUGAUGAUUAUUAUUAGCUAGUGUUAGUGGUGAUUAAAUAAAUAUUGUUGGUGGUAAUGACUAUGAUGAUGAUUAAAUAGCUUGUGCUGGCAGAUUAGAUUCAAGUGGAGGCAACAUGUGGUGCACAUCGAAAGUACUACUAGUCCAAACUAGAUCAAGUUUGGAUUAGUAGUAUACUUUUGACAUGCACCACAUAUUGCCUCCACUUGAACCUAAUCCACCUUCAUUUGACACACUGUUAUGGACAUAAUGAUGUAAACCUCAUAACUGGUAUUGUACCAAUAUUUGUACGAUGGCGCAUAAAUACACUAAAAAUAAAAAAGAAUACUAGUAGCGAUGGAGAGAAAACACGCUGCCAGUAGUUACAUUAGUAGGAGCGUGGGAGUGAACAAACGCUGCAGCUAUUUGUCCUAGCAGUAGCGCGUGCGGGCACGCGUUACUUCUAAGCAAUAGCUGUAGCGCCUUAUUAGUAGCGCGCCUACCCGCGCUACUAGUGAGCACAAAACCAGCGCUACUGCUAGGGUUUUCCCUAGUAGUGCUCCCCCUAUAUGCAGCGGUGUAACACCCCUUCUCCCCGCUGUAAUCUCUACUUAAACAUGGUGCUCAAUGCUAUAUAUUAUUUCUCAAUGAUGUAUGGCUAUCCUAUGAUGUUUGAGUAGAUCCGUUUUGUCCUAUGGCUUGAUUGAUGAUCGUGAUUGGUUUGAGUUGCAUGCUUUAUUAUUGAUGCUUUCCUAUGGUGCUCUCCAUGUCGCACAAGUAUGAGGGAUCCCCGCUGUAGGGUUUGCAAUAUGUUCAUGAUUUGCUUAUGGUGGGUGGCGUGAGUGAAAGAAGCACAUACCCGAGUAAGUAGGUUGUUUGCGUAUGGGAAUAAAGAGGACUUGAUACUUUAAUGCUAUGGUUGGGUUUUACCUUAAUGAUCUUUAGUAGUUGUAGAUGCUUGCUAGAGUUCCAAUCAUAAGUGGAUAUGAUCCAAGAAGAGAAAGUAUAUUAGCUUAUGCCCCUCCCUCAUAUAAAAUUGCAAUAAUGAUUACCGCUCUAGUUAUUGAUUGCCUAGGGACAAAUAACUUUCUUGUGUGACAAAAAGCUCUCUACUAAAACUUAGUUGUUUCUUUAUCUAAACAACCCCUACUUUUUAUUUACAUGCUCUUUAUUAUCUUGCAAACAAAUCGUACAACACCUACAAAGUACUUCUAGUUUCAUACUUGUUCUAGGUAAGGCGAACGUUAAGCAUGCGUAGAGUUGUAUCGGUGGUCGAUAGAACUUGAGGGAAUAUUUGUUCUACCUUUAGCUCCUCGUUGGGUUCGACACUCUUACUUAUCGAAAGAGGCUACAAUUGAUCCCCUAUACUUGUGGGUUAUCAAGACCUUUUUCUGGCGCCGUUGUCGGGGAGCAAUAGCGUGGGGGUGAAUAUUCUCGUGUGUGCUUGUUCGCUUUAUCACUAAAUAGAUUUUAUUUGCUGUUCCAAGUUGUUUUAUAUCUUUAGUUAUGGAUAUGGAACACGAAAUACCAAAAAAAUUAGGUGUACUUGCUACUCAUGGAGAUGGGGAACCUCCUAAAACCCUCGAUGCACAUUAUGUGAAAAUAUUAUGCACUACUUUAAUAAUCCCGAGAAAGCCCCAUUCAAUUAUAUAAUGGGAGACACGUUGGAUCAAUGUGAAUACUUUAGGGAUUAUCGCUUGACUCAAAAAUGGAAACUAUUAUGGGAUCAAAUUUAUAUGUUGCAUUGGUAUGCUCGAGAACUAUGCUUGAGAUAUGAUUGUACUUGUUGCUCUAGGAUGAAGGCUCCAUAGCUUCCCUUGUCAUGUAAAUUUAAUGAUAAUAAAACCUUGGCUUCUUAUGCUAAUGAUAUAUAUGAUUACUAUGAUGUUGAACGAAUAGAAGAAUUCAUUGCUUUUAAGGGUGCUUAUGAAAUUGACUCUUUGUUUAAAAAGUGUGAAAAUAUUUAUGAUGUUGUUUACAAACCUGAAAUUUUUGCUAUACUUAAAUAUUGCUAUGAGAAUUAUGAAUACAAUGCCGAUAUUUAUGCAUAUAUUGAGGACUCCUUCUCUGUCCAAGAGGAGACUAACAUUUUGCAGGAGUCUAUGGAAGAAGAAAUUGAUGAAACUGUGAGCUCAUUGGAUGAAAGAGAUGAUGAGGAGAGCGAAGAACAAAAGGAGGAAGAGCGGAUUAGCUACCUGUGCCCACCUUUCUAAUGAGAGUAACCCUCCAAAUCAUACAUUGUUUAAUGUCCUUUCGUUCUUACCGAAGGACGAAUGCUAUGAUCCUGUUGAUUCAUUUGAAAUAUCCCUUUUUGAUGAACUUGAUAAUUGCUAUGCUUGUGGCCAUGAUGCCAAUAUGAAUUAUGCUUAUGGAGAUGAACUUGAUAUAGUUCCUUAUGUUAAACAUGAAAUUUUUGCUAUUGCACCCACACAUGAUAGUCCUAUUAUCUUUUUGAAUUCUCCCAACUACACUAUAUCGGAUAAGUUUGCGUUUAUUAAGGAUUGUAUUGAUGGGUUGCGUUUUACUAUUGCACAUGAUGAUUUUGAUAAAUAUAAUAUGCAUGUGCUUGCUGCUCCUACUUGCAAUUAUUAUGAGAGAGGAACUACAUCUCCACCUCUCUAUGUUUCCAAUACAAUAAAAUUGCAAGAAACUGUUUAUACUAUGCACUGGCCUUUACUUUGUGUGCAUGAAUUGUUCUUUUAUGACAUGCCGAUGCAUAGGAAGAGAGUUAGAUUUUGAUGUUUCAUGCUAUAUGUUACUUUGCGCUCACUACUAAAUCACAAAUUAUUUUUAAUUAAAAUUGAAUUUGAUAUACCUUGGGAUCCGGAUGGAUCCAUUACUUGAGCACUUUAUGCCUAGCUUAAUGGCUUUAAAGAAAGCGCUGCUAGGGAGACAACCCGAAUGUUUAGAGAGUCAUUUAUUUCUGUUAAGUUCUUUUAAAUAGUUUUAAAACAAAAAAAUAUAAGGAAGGGAACCUAAAACUUUUUCAAAAAGAAAAGUGAAAGUGAGAAAGACGAGCAUUGUUAAAAUGGGAGCUAGCCUUGAACUUUGUGAAGGAAAUAUGCCCUAGAGGCAAUAAUAAAGUUGUUAUUUAUAUUUCCUUAUAUCAUGAUGAAUGUUUAUUAUUCAUGCUAGAAUUGUAUUAACCGGAAACUUAGUACAUGUGUGAAUACAUAGACAAACAGAGUGUCACUAGUAUGCCUCUACUUAACUAGCUCAUUGAAUCAAUGAUGGUUAUGUUUCCUGACCAUAGACAUGAGUUGUCAUUUGAUUAAAGGGAUCACAUCAUUAGAGAAUGAUGUGAUUGACUUGACCCAUCCGUUAGCUUAGCAUGAUGAUAGUUUAGUUUGUUGCUAUUGCUUUCUCCAUAACUUAUACAUGUUCCUAUGACUAUGAGAUCAUGCAACUCCCGAAUACCGGAGGAACACUUAGUGUGCUAUCAAACGUCACAACGUAACUGCGUGAUAAUAAAGAUGCUCUACAGGUGUCUCCGAUGGUGUUUGUUGAGUUGGCAUAGAUCGAGAUUAUGAUUUGUCACUCUGAGUAUCGGAGAGGUAUCAAUGGCCCUCUCAGUAAUGCACAUCACUAUAAGCCUUGCAAGCAAUGUGACUAAUGAGUUAGUUGCAUGAUGAUGCAUUACAGAAUGAGUAAAGAUACUUGAUGGUAACAAGAUUGAACUAGGUAUUGAGAUACCGACGAUCGAAUCUCGGGAAAGUAACAUACCGAUGACAAAGGGAACAACGUAUGUUGUUGUUGUGUGGUUUGACCGAUGAAGAUCUUCGUAGAAUAUGUAGGAACCAAUAUGAGCAUCCGGGUUCAGCUAUUGGUUAUUGACCGGAGAUGAGUCUCGGUCAUGUCUACAUAGUUCUCGAACGAGUAGGGUGCGCACGCUUAAUGUUCGGUGACGAUCGGUAUUGUGAGUGUAUGUGUUUUGAUGUACCGAAGGUAGUUCAGAGUCCCGGAUAUGAUCACAGACAUGACAAGGAGUCUCGAAGUGGUCGAGACGUAAUGAUCGAUAUAUUCAAAGCCUAUGUUUGGACAUCGGAAUAGUUCUGGAUGAGUUCGGGCAUCUUCCGGAGUACCGGGAGGUUACCGAAACACUCGGGGAGUAUAUGGGCCUUAUUGGGCCUUAGUGGAAUAGAGGAGAGGAAGGGAAAAGGUGGGAGGCGUGCCCCCUAGCCCAAUCCGAAUUGGGUGGGGGCCGGCCCCCCUUUCCUUUCCCCUCUCCUCCCCUUCUUUCUCUCCUACCCCUACUACUUGGAAGGGGGGAAUCCUACUCCCGGUGGGAGUAGGACUCCCCUAGGGCGCGCCAUAGAGGGCCGGCCCUCCCCCUCCUCCACUCCUUUAUAUACGGGGGAGGGAGGCACCCCCAUAGACACACAAGUUGAUCAUUGUCUUAGCCGUGUGCGGUGCCCCACUCCACCAUAAUCCACCUCGGUCAUAUCGUCGUAGUGCACAAGUAGCUAAAUAUUUUAAUUGAACAUAACAUGAAUUCAAAGUUUUGAAUGACAUUUUUAGUGCGAAUUGAUUUGGUACAGUACACGUUAGGCUUGUCCGGAAAUUUCAACCCGCGCCUUGUUAGCCCGAAAUAUUUAAGAUAUAUCUUUGUCUCGUUGUGCUCCGACAAGUCCCUCCAUCUCAACCUGCACCUUGCUAUUCCAAAAUUACAACCCGCGCGAAAACUCCCACCUCCUGUGAAAUCCCGACACGCGAAAUGCCCGUGAUACCCCUAAACCAAAAGAACCGCCUCAAAUCGGUGGGGGUACUUUCAUAACUUACCCCACAUUUCGGACAAGCGCGUCCCUAAGCCAUGGUUCCCCACUCCCAUUCCAUCCGCCCACCCAUUCGUACACCGAGGCAGGGAAAACCCGUGAAGCCCCACACCCUCCUCUGUUCGCCACCCAGCCGGAGCCUCUUCCCCGACGACAUCGUCCACAACAACACCUCGACGUCCCUCAUCCACCGUACUGGAUGAGGAUCCGUUGUCGAUCUGGUCAUCCCGCCGGUUCAGCCACCCCAUCCUCCACCUCCAAGGAGCUGCCCUGAUGUUCCCCUUGUCUUUCACGCCACCUCCAUUUGUGACACUCUAAAUUUUUUAUUUGGUUUUUAUCAAAAAUUUUGUGGUUUUUGAGGAAAGGCCUUGUCUUAAAUUUUUUCUUUUUCAGAAAAACCUUCCACUUAAAAAAAACUUCCUUUGUCUUGGCAAGGAUUUUAUUUUUUUUCAAACUUUGGUGGUUGAUCUUUUGAAAACUUCUUCUCUGUUGGUUCCCUCUCAAAAUUUAUUUUUGGGAGUUUAAAUUAUUUUUCUUUUAAAAUAAAACUCUAUGAAAAUUUGGGAUUUCCAUAUCUUGGAACCAUCCUUGACUUAGCAUUCUUGCCCAUGUGAUAAAACCUCUCCAAAACCUCCCCUACACCUUGUGAUCAACCCAAGUUCUCUGUCCCAACUAAUCCAAACAAGUUUUGGAUUUUAUUCUAAUUAUUUUCCCUCUCAAAUCAAUUCUGAAAAUUAUUUGGAGCCUUAGUGAUUUUCAAAGCAAGUACUCCUUUUCAUUUGAGUUUUGACCUCACACCAACUCCCCUGGAUAGUCCUUUGUACCCACAACUCAGAACCAUCUUGAUCCACUCCUUCUCUUUUCAAAUUUUUCAAAAUUCAGUCUCUGCAAGUUUGGACCAGAUUUGCCAAAUUUGAUGAAAUUCAUAUCUACACUCCCCCAAAAAUUCCACCAAAAUUCAGGCAACCUAUUUGAGCAAUGAGAAGCCACUCCACCAAGUAUCAGCUCAUGGAAAAAUCCCUACAUGCCUGGAGCAUUCUGUCGAACACCUGAGCUACACUGUUCCUUUGCAAAUUCAGUAAGUUCAGUCUUCAGUGUCGUCUUCGUCCCUCAGUUUCAGUCACGCGGCCACAGUGCCCUUGGCACGUUCCUCGCCGCCUCUUCCUCUUGUCCGAAGCUUCACACGCGUGCGUGGAGCCUUCCUGGCGUCGGUAGCGCGCUGGCCCGCCCUCGCCGGCGUCUUCUGCAGCGUCGGGACCUCCCGUGGCGGCCGACAGGAGACGCACCACGGCAGAACGCCGUUCAGCGCCGCCCAAAGCCCCCUGGCUCUCCGCGUGGCCUCAUGCACGCCAGCGCACGCCCGUGGCACAGCCACCAUGGCCGGCAAGCACGGGACGCGCUCUCCGCCACCGACGGGCCCGCGCCAUCCCCGUUUCGUCGAGCUCACCCUUAACACCCAAACCCCGGCCAGUUUAGCACCAAAACGGACCCAUUGAACCUCCGUGAUGACGCUCGACCCCCUAACCACCCCGACCGAGCACUGCGCCACCGUAAUCACUCGCCGGUGAUCCCCGUUCACGGCAACCGCCUCGGACCGCCUAUAUAAAGGGGCCCCGAGCUCACUCUCGUGCACGCAGCAUCACCAUUCCUCACCAACACCCCGCCAGGCCACUAGGGGGACCUCGAGGAGGUCUCCUCCCCCAGCUCCGGCCGCCUCGCCCCGCCUCGGCCUCCAGCUCGAUUCACUCUGGUGAGGCCAUCUCCGGCGCCCAAACCUCGUCCGUAGCCCUCUUCCACACCUAGCACCCUAACCCCCUUGUCAAUUUGAACCUUGCAGCCCUCUCCGGCGAGCUCCAUCCUCGUCCGAACCACCGUCCGCCGGAGCAGGGGCCGCCGUCGACACAGUGCUCGCCGGCGACCACCACCACCACCAACCGACGCGGAAUGGCGCCCUGAGCACGGAGGUACUCCCCGAUCUCCCUGCCUCGCCGUGGAUCGCCGCCGGCGACCACCGCGGCUCUCGGGCGCCGACGAGCUUCGUCCGCCCCGUUUGAAUGUUUAAACCUGACAAGAGGGACCCCACCGUCAGCCUCUCUGCUCUCUCUUUUGAAUCGUUUUCUGGAAGCGCCUUCGGGCAGAAUGCGUUUUCUCUUUGGGCUGGCGUAGUUUCUGCUGAAGUGUUUUCUGUUUUUAUAAACUAACCCCUGGAAAUCUUCUGUUUCAUUACAGAUGAGUCCCUGGACAAAAACCUUUAUAACUUUUAAACAGAAAAGUAUUUUUGAUUGAUUCUUCUUCUGCUCUCUUUAAAAUUUUGUCUAGUUUUUUAUCAGAUUUAUUUGAAAAUUAUUUGAAGUACUUUCUGUGCACUCCUUGGUAUUUACGAUAGCGCAUAUAUUCUCUUUAUACCGUAGAUACCGAAGGAGGUGACGGAGCCGCGAACUUCACCGAGCUAGGCUCCGACUACUCUGAACCAGGCAAGCAUGUUUGAACUUUUGAUAUGAUGAGUGUCUUGGCAUGUUUUGCAUUUAGUUAGUUUCAUGGCAUGUUGAGUAGCAUAUCGAUGAACGUUAUUUUAUGUGAUAAUGAGGUAAGUGAGUUCGAUGAUCCAUACGUGGAUGAAUGUGAAUAUGAAUGGCCAUGUGUUGGCAUGAGGAUGGGUAAGAUGGCAGUGUUGUAGCAUGCCAGUCUUAUGCCAGACUAUGUGACUUCAGUGUCAAACCGUAUCGGUCCAGUACCUCUCAUUUCCUUCCAUGUACUACCACAUGUUUUCCGCAAGGAAUAUGGUUUAGUAAGUUGCAAACCGCUUUCAUGGUACACACCAAAGAGGAGAGGCCGUGAUGAUGGUUCCAUGGCCCUGGAUUAAAGCCAGUCAUCCGGUCAGGGGGCAUGGGUGUUUCCGGUUGGGACCGAGAGGGGGGCACCCCUUAGAGCGCGCGUAUAUAAAUUUGAUCCCAUGCUAUUCGAGAUUGUGAUCUCCCCAUAUCAAAAGUUUUUCUUGGACGAUGUCUAGGGCGAUUCCUAGCAUCAAGAGGUAAGGAUGGGUGUGUACUGGUUAGCUGUGUUUUCUUCCGAAAUACCGUAAACGGAACUAGUCCUUCGUGACUACGGAAAUCCGUUGGCUGUGGGAAUAAUUUUGUACAAACUCUGCAGAGUCAUAUAUCCCUUCACGUCAUCUAUUCCAUGUCCAAAUUCGUAUUAUCUUGUUCUAACAAUGACAGUGUUGAUGACAGAGACUCCGGUGUUUCGCAUGAGUGCUAAUUCCGGAAAUGAUAUUCCUGUGGAUGGACUAACCCAUUUAUUCUUAUGAAUUAAAAGUUUAUUAUGAUUAUUAUUUAUCUGUCCAUAAAAGCCCCUUCUGUGAUGUCGCCCCGACGUCCGACUGUGGCAUUUCUUUUCAAGCCCUUUCUGUGAUGUCGUCCCGACGUCCGACUGUGGCAUUUCUUUUCAAGCCCUUUCUGUGAUGUCGCCCCGANNNNNNNNNNNNNNNNNNNNNNNNNNNNNNNNNNNNNNNNNNNNNNNNNNNNNNNNNNNNNNNNNNNNNNNNNNNNNNNNNNNNNNNNNNNNNNNNNNNNNNNNNNNNNNNNNNNNNNNNNNNNNNNNNNNNNNNNNNNNNNNNNNNNNNNNNNNNNNNNNNNNNNNNNNNNNNNNNNNNNNNNNNNNNNNNNNNNNNNNNNNNNNNNNNNNNNNNNNNNNNNNNGUCCGACUGUGGCAUUUCUUUUCAAGCCCUUUCUGUGACGUCGCCCCGACGUCCGACUGAGGUAUUUCUUUUUAAGCCCUUUAUGUGGUGUCGCUAAGACGCCCGACUGUGGCAUCUUUUUCUUUAUAAUUAUUUGUUCACCUUUCGGGGUGUCGCUUCAGACACCCGAUCGGAAAUUAUUUCUGUUCUGUUGGGAUUUCAGGCGGACUACCGCCGUUUCCCUUUACUUACCUUGUUAUGAUAAUUUUGAACGUACAUUGGUGAAUUUAUUCAUGUCGCAUCCAUGCAUGCAUUUGUUAUAUCUUACGUCUGAACUGUCUUGCGAGUACUUUCAAAGUACUCACUGGCUUGUUGAUUUGGCCAGAUGCUGACGAAGGCGAUUUCCUGGAUGAAGAGUUCGAUAGCGAGUCCGACACUUAGAGGAGUCCCAGUCAGUCUCGUGCGACCCUGGAUUUGGUCACUGUUUUAUAUCCGCUUCCGCUACCAAAUAAAUUCAUCGAGCCUCACCUCGACGCUCGAUGAGAUGAUAGACUUAGAGUCUUGUAUUUCUCUCCCCGCUGUGUUUUUCCACCACCGCCCUAUCCUCGAGUCAGUAGUAUGUCUCCACACCACUGUGUCAUGUCCGCCAUUAUGUAUAAUUAUUGGCGUGCUUGUAAUGAUUUGGUUGAGCAACCGUAGUUCAACCCUGUAAUAUAUUUUAUGCUACUGGCUUAUUGUAUCAAGAAAUUGUCUACCAGUGAGGAGAAUUUCUCUCAUACUCAAAAGAUUGGUUUCUCAAUAAAUAUUUUUAUUGGAAAACCAGUCGUGACAAGCUUGGUAUCAGAGCCAGGCUGACUGUAGGAAGCCACUAGGUGCGAUCGCUAAUUAGUUAUUAGCAUGAUAGAGCUAAUUUAUAUUUUUGCAAUUGUAGUCAUUUUCUGUCAGUCAGCAUAAAUUUAUGAUCUGACCAUGCAGAAUUUUUGCCUACUUUUGUAGAUGGCCGACAACAGCUGCGAGUCUCAGACCUUCGCCAACGUGCCCGAUGGGUUCGUCAAGCUUCUUUCUUUCAUCGUUCAGGUCGCGAUGGGGCCAUCCGUGCGCCCAGUCUUCACACUCUGCCAGCACCGAGUCAACGACAGUCUGACCAUGCACCAGGCCGCAGUGCAGUUCAAGGGAGGGCAUGGUGAGUUACGCCGCUUCCGGUUCGUGGGAAGAGCCAUGCCUACGGAGAGGCAUGCUAUGCAGAUGGCAGCCCGCGAGGCGAUAGCUCGUCUCAGGGAUGUCCUUCCCGUGAUGAAGACUCGUCGUUACUGUUAUCUUCCGUGCCAUGUGCCAUACACCUGUCACUACGCAUACUCCUGCCCCAGAGGAGAAUGAGACGAGGCUUUUGAGAUGCUCAUUGAGUAUCUCCGGGCCCUGGAGGCAGCCUUCGACAACCUGGUGGACGACUUCGUAGCUACCCGCAUGGACUCAGUCCAUGGCUGUGCCUCCAACAGGAGGGAGCUCCUACCAAUCGCACCGCCACUGACUUUUGUCUCGUCAUCAGCAUCUUUUACGCCUGCUCGUCGCCUGCCUUCUACCGAAGAAUUCAACCAAGUCAUUGCGCCCACUCUAGCGCGCACUGCACCAACCUUCGCGCCCACUCCUGUACGUGUUGCUCCGCCCCUGGCAACCGCUCCGUCCGCUCUGCGCAACACUACACGUAUGGAGCCCAUUAGCGAGGAGGAAGUCGAGUCCCCAACCUCGCUACGCCUCGCCCUCGGCAGGGCAAAGGAGGUCGUCAACAUCUCCGCCUGAGUACGCUUAGCUGCCGUGUAUUGUACCGCUUUGUAAGAUAUGCACAUAGGUUGUGAGAAGUAGCCUGUUUGCGCAUCAUGUAGGAUCUGGAGGAGUGCACUAGCCUAAAUAACAUGUCAGGAUUAUGUACGCAUAUCCUGAGUGAUGUAUUGUAUAAUUACCGCCCGCGUGUAAGAUAUGUAAUGAGCAGUCCUUCUCCGUGCGCAAGUCGAUUUGUUUUUCUUAAGUAAGCCGAGUUAUUUAAUUCUAUUUGCCUGCUUUAUGCAUUUAUGGUUUUGUUUUGCGACUCUUUCCGCUUUUCUUAUGAGUUUUACAAAAUACAUCCCCAGAGUGAAAAAUGUCUCGUCCUUGGACACGCUCCAUGCCAACUCCACCAGAGGAAAAUUAUGAUACACAACCCAACAACGAGUUCACCCAGGGACAGUCAAGCCAACAGGGCAGUGAAUCAGCACUUUCACAAAUGUGCCGCCUUUAUGAGCAGAGUCAGCAACAACAUCGGGAGAUGAUGAACCAAGUCAUCAACAUGGGAAAUCACCAUGGACAGUAUCAACAGCAUUCCAAGUUAUCUGAACUACAGAAGACACGUCCUCAAACAUUUUCUCACACUGACAAGCCUCUUGAAGCCGAGGACUGGCUUCGAGAUAUGGAGAGGAAAUUAAUUAUUGCAAAAUGUUCAGAUCUCGAGAAAGUACUAUAUGCUCCACACUAUCUCACAGGAGCAGCCGCAUCGUGGUGGGAGAAUUUUCUGCACAUGCAUCCCAACGAAAAUAACAUAACCUGGGAUGAUUUCAAGGAAGGUUUCCGUGGUGCACAUAUUCCUAAAAGUAUUAUGAAAAUCAAGAAGAGAGAAUUCGAUGACCUCAAACAAAGGAACAUGACAGUGUCAGAUUACAACAGUCAAUUUACCCUAUUAUCCCGCUACGCCAAUGAGGAACGUAUGACUGAAAUCAAGAAGAUGGAGAAAUUCCUUGACGGUCUGGCACCCGCGCUUAAAUGCCAACUGGUCGUGCACACUUUUCCUGAUUUUAAAACACUGGUGGACAAAGCCAUUACUCUGGAAAAUGAGAGACGCAGUCUGGAAGAUAUCCGCAAGCGAAAAAGGGACCAGACUAAUCACGCUCGCAAUCACCGAAGCAAGACAGAUUUUCAAAAGGGUGGGACACACAAAUUCUCAUCCAAUGCCUCACGCCCAAUCAAGAAUUUUCAUGCAAGGGACAAGGAAUUCACCUAUCGCCCCGGCGUUACUUGUUACGCUUGUGGAGAAGAAGGGCACUAUGCCAAACAGUGCCCCAAGCCAAGGAGUUCAACCCCAAAGCCGAACAACGGCGGCAAUAAUUCAGCACCCAAGCGAAACAAUUUCAAUCCCAACAAUAACCACAGGAAGGGUCAUCUGAACCACGUAACCAAAGAGGAGGCACAAAAUGCUCCGGAUAUCGUACUCGGUACGUUUCCUGUCAACACAAUACCUGCAAUGGUUUUGUUUGAUUCUGCAGCUUCUCACUCUUUCAUUUCGAAAAGUUUUGCUUUGCAAAAUAAGUUUUCGAUACUUCCUUUGGAGAAAUCCAUGAUCAUCAAGUCCCCUGGGAUUCAGCAAGUUUCUCAGAAUUACUGUCAGAAUGUGGUCAUUGAGUUCGAAGGAUUGGAGUUUCACGCAAAUCUUAUCGUAUUGGAAAACAAAGGACUGGAUGUCAUCCUAGGGAUGAAUUGGCUAACCACCAAUAAAGGUUUCAUCGACUGUUUCAACAGGACCGUGAUUCUCACACACCACCAAGGGAAGACAAUAAGAGUAUCAGCCAAGGAAGGAAAAAGACCCCGGCAAUCGAGACUAAAUAAGGUGGACGUUUCUGAGCUGAACAAGGUUCCAGUAGUGUGUGAAUUUCCAGAUGUAUCCCUUGAAGAGCUGCCAGGCAUGCCACCAGACCGAGAAAUAGAAUUCCGCAUUGAGCUAGCGCCAGGAACCGCUCCCAUAUACAAGAAACCAUACAGAAUGGCACCAUCCGAGUUGGUCUAGUUGAAGAAGCAAAUAAAGGAAUUACUGGAAAAAGGAUACAUUCGAGCCAGCUCCUCACCUUGGGGGUCACCAAUUUUAUUUGCCAAAAAGAAGGAUGGAACGCUGAGAUUGUGUAUUGACUAUCGAGCACUUAACAUGGUCACAGUCAAAAACAAAUACCCGAUGCCAAGGAUAAAUGAUUUAUUUGAUCAGCUCGCUCAGGCCAAGGUAUUCUCAAAAAUUGACUUAAGGUCAGGAUACCAUCAAUUGAAGGUACGAACGGAAGAUAUCCCCAAAACGGCCUUCACCUCCAGAUAUGGACUGUACGAGUUCACAGUGAUGCCAUUUGGAUUAACUAACGCCCCAACAUAUUUUGUUCACCUCAUGAACAAAGUAUUUAUGAAGUUUAUGGACAAGUUCGUCGUGGUAUUCAUCGACGAUAUUCUGGUAUACUCUAAGACACCAGAAGAGCACGCAGAACAUCUCAGGAUUGUGCUAGGAGAGCUAAGAAAACACCAAUUGUAUGCCAAGUUCAGCAAGUGCGAAUUUUGGCUAAGACAAGUAGGUUUUCUAGGCCACGUGCUGACUCAAGACGGUAUCGCAGUGGACCCAGAGAAAGUUAAGGCCGUACUUGACUGGAAAUCACCAGCCAGCGUAACGGACAUACGGAGUUUCUUGGGAAUGGCAGGAUAUUACCGCAUAUUUAUUGAAGGAUUUUCCACCAUAGCCAAGCCUAUGACACAGUUGCUCAAGAAAGAUAAGAAGUUUGAGUGGACAGAAGCCUGCGAGAAAAGUUUCCAAGAGCUAAAGCGGAAAUUAACAACAACACCGGUAUUAAUUGUACCCGACAUACACAAGAAUUUUGAAGUAUAUUGUGACGCGUCCAGAAAGGGUCUCGGAUGCAUGUUGAUGCAAGAAGGCAAGGUUGUCGCCUACGCUUCAAGGCAACUUCGCAAGCAUGAGGAAAAUUAUCCCACUCAUGACUUAGAAAUGGCAGUAGUUAUUCAUGCACUCAAGGAAUGGAGGCAUUUCUUACUUGGGAAUCGAUGUGAAAUAUAUACGGACCACAAAAGUCUCAAAUAUAUUUUCACGCAGCCAGAACUAAAUUUACGGCAACGACGCUGGUUGGAACUGGUAAAGGAUUAUGAUGUUGGGAUCCAUUACCAUCCAGGGAAAGCAAAUGUAGUGGCCGAUGCCCUGAGUCGGAACCCCAGCUCCGACGGGAACUAUCUGCACAGCUUGAGGGCCGAAUUCCAUCAAGAAUUUGCCAAGCUCAACUUGAUAAUGGUAGCAGAAGGCACCAUAUCAAACUUGGUAAUACAACCCAACCUUGUGAAGAAAAUUAAAGAAGCUCAGCCCGGUCACCCCAGCAUUGAAGGAAUUAAAAGAAAGUUGAGUAUGGGCAAAGCCUCGGAAUUCGUCAUCGACAAUGAAGGAAUAUUAUGGUACGGAGAAAGGCUAUGCGUGCCAAACAUAGAAGACCUUAAACAGCAAGUUUUAGCUGAAGCACACACCACUCCAUAUUCGAUCCACCCUGGAGGAACCAAAAUGUAUAAGGAUAUUCAGGAAAGAUUUUGGUGGCACGGUAUGAAGAGGGACAUAGCCGCCUUCAUUGCAUGUUGCGACUCAUGUCAACGCAUAAAAGCUGAACAUCAGAGACCAGCCGGACUACUGCAACCAAACAAAAUACCUGAGUGGAAAUGUGACGAAAUAGGGAUGGAUUUUAUUGUCGGACUACCUCGGUCACGACACGGGAAUGAUGCCAUAUGGGUCAUCACUGACAGGUUGACCAAAGUGGCACACUUUAUUCCAGUGAAGACAACCUACACCACUCAGAGGCUUGCCAGGAUUUAUCUUUCCCGCAUAGUUUGUCUGCACGGUGUCCCGAAGACUAUAAUAUCCGACAGAGGCACUCAGUUUGUCUCAAGAUUUUGGGAGCAUUUACAACAGGCUCUGGGAACCCAACUAGCCUUCAGUACCGCAUACCACCCACAGACUGAUGGGCAGACUGAACGCGUAAACCAAAUUUUAGAAGACAUGCUGAGAGCAUGUGUCCUCACAUAUGGAACCAGUUGGGAAGAAAGCCUGCCAUACGCCGAGUUCGCGUAUAACAAUAGCUACCAGGCCAGCCUACAAAUGGCACCAUUUGAGGCUUUGUACGGACGGAGAUGUCGUACCCCGUUAAAUUGGUCAGAGACCGGAGACAGCCGCAUCUUCGGACCAGACAUGCUCAGAGAAGCCGAGGAAAAGGUCAAGCUAAUCAGAGACCGACUUAAGACCGCUCAAAGUCGACAGAAGAGUUAUUAUGAUCAGAAACAUCGUAGGGUCAGCUUCAAACCCGGUGAGUUCGUAUACCUGAGAGUAUCCCCUAUGAGAGGAUUGCAACGAUUCAGGAUAAAAGGGAAGUUAGCACCAAGAUUCAUUGGACCAUUUUGCAUAGUGGCACGAAGAGGCACUGUAGCCUACCAGCUAGACUUACCCGAGGAAUUAUCCGAUGUCCACGACGUGUUCCAUGUCUCGCAAUUGAGGAAGUACGUACGCAACCCAGAGAAACAAGUAUCCCAUGAAAACAUUGAUGUGCAGCCAGACCUCACUUAUCGAGAACGUCCCGUAAGAAUAUUAGAGGAAUCUAAAAGGAGGACCCGACAGAAGACCAUCAAGUUUUUCAAAGUCCAGUGGAGCAAUCACACCGACAGUGAAGCAACUUGGGAAAGCGAGGAUUUUCUUCGGACUGAGCAUCCACACCUAUUUAAGGAUCAGCUGAAAUCUCGGGGACGAGAUUUUUCCUAAGGGGGUAGGUGUCGUGACACUCUAAAAUUUUUAUUUGGUUUUUAUCAAAAAUUUUGUGGUUUUUGAGGAAAGGCCUUGUCUUAAAAUUUUUCUUUUUCAGAAAAACCUUCCACUUAAAAAAAACUUCCUUUGCCUUGGCAAGGAUUUUAUUUUUUUUCAAACUUUGGUGGUUGAUCUUUUGAAAACUUCUUCUCUGUUGGUUCCCUCUCAAAAUUUAUUUUUGGGAGUUUAAAUUAUUUUUCUUUUAAAAUAAAACUCUAUGAAAAUUUGGGAUUUCCAUAUCUUGGAACCAUCCUUGACUUAGCAUUCUUGCCCAUGUGAUAAAACCUCUCCAAAACCUCCCCUACACCUUGUGAUCAACCCAAGUUCUUUGUCCCAACUAAUCCAAACAAGUUUUGGAUUUUAUUCUAAUUAUUUUCCCUCUCAAAUCAAUUCUGAAAAUUAUUUGGAGCCUUAGUGAUUUUCAAAGCAAGUACUCCUUUUCAUUUGAGUUUUGACCUCACACCAACUCCCCUGGAUAGUCCUUUGUACCCACAACUCAGAACCAUCUUGAUCCACUCCUUCUCUUUUCAAAUUUUUCAAAAUUCAGUCUCUGCAAGUUUGGACCAGAUUUGCCAAAUUUGAUGAAAUUCAUAUCUACACUCCCCCAAAAAUUCCACCAAAAUUCAGGCAACCUAUUUGAGCAAUGAGAAGCCACUCCACCAAGUAUCAGCUCAUGGAAAAAUCCCUACAUGCCUGGAGCAUUCUGUCGAACACCUGAGCUACACUGUUCCUUUGCAAAUUCAGUAAGUUCAGUCUUCAGUGUCGUCUUCGUCCGUCAGUUUCAGUCACGCGGCCACAGUGCCCUUGGCACGUUCCUCGCCGCCUCUUCCUCUUGUCCGAAGCUUCACACGCGUGCGUGGAGCCUUCCUGGCGUUGGUAGCACGCUGGCCCGCCCUCGCCGGCGUCUUCUGCAGCGUCGAGACCUCCCGUGGCGGCCGACAGGAGACACACCACGGCAGAACGCCGUUCAGCGCCGCCCAAAGCCCCCUGGCUCUCCGCGUGGCCUCAUGCACGCCAGCGCACGCCCGUGGCACAGCCACCGUGGCCGGCAAGCACGGGACGCGCUCUCCGCCACCGACGGGCCCGCGCCAUCCCCGUUCCGUCGAGCUCGCCCUUAACACCCAAACCCCGGCCAGUUUAGCACCAAAACGGACCCAUUGAACCUCCGUGAUGACGCUCGACCCCCUAACCACCCCGACCGAGCACUGCGCCACCGUAAUCACUCGCCGGUGAUCCCCGUUCACGGCAACCGCCUCGGACCGCCUAUAUAAAGGGGCCCCGAGCUCACUCUCGUGCACGCAGCAUCACCAUUCCUCACCAACACCCCGCCAGGCCACUAGGGGGACCUCGAGGAGGUCUCCUCCCCCAGCUCCGGCCGCCUCGCCCCGCCUCGGCCUCCAGCUCGAUUCACUCUGGUGAGGCCAUCUCCGGCGCCCAAACCUCGUCCGUAGCCCUCUUCCACACCUAGCACCCUAACCCCCUUGUCAAUUUGAACCUUGCAGCCCUCUCCGGCGAGCUCCAUCCUCGUCCGAACCACCGUCCGCCGGAGCAGGGGCCGCCGUCGACACAGUGCUCGCCGGCGACCACCACCACCACCAACCGACGCGGAAUGGCGCCCUGAGCACGGAGGUACUCCCCGAUCUCCCUGCCUCGCCGUGGAUCACCGCCGGCGACCACCGCGGCUCUCGGGCGCCGACGAGCUUCGUCCGCCCCGUUUGAAUGUUUAAACCUGACAAGACGGACCCCACCGUCAGCCUCUCUGCUCUCUCUUUUGAAUCGUUUUCUGGAAGCGCCUUCGGGCAGAAUGCGUUUUCUCUUUGGGCUGGCGUAGUUUCUGCUGAAGCGUUUUCUGUUUUUAUAAACUAACCCCUGGAAAUCUUCUGUUUCAUUACAGAUGAGUCCCUGGACAAAAACCUUUAUAACUUUUAAACAGAAAAGUAUUUUUGAUUGAUUCUUCUUCUGCUCUCUUUAAAAUUUUGUCUAGUUUUUUAUCAGAUUUAUUUGAAAAUUAUUUGAAGUACUUUCUGUGCACUCCUUGGUAUUUACGAUAGCGCAUAUAUUCUCUUUAUACCGUAGAUACCGAAGGAGGUGACGGAGCCGCGAACUUCACCGAGCUAGGCUCCGACUACUCUGAACCAGGCAAGCAUGUUUGAACUUUUGAUAUGAUGAGUGUCUUGGCACGUUUUGCAUUUAGUUAGUUUCAUGGCAUGUUGAGUAGCAUAUCGAUGAACGUUAUUUUAUGUGAUAAUGAGGUAAGUGAGUUCGAUGAUCCAUACGUGGAUGAAUGUGAAUAUGAAUGGCCAUGUGUUGGCAUGAGGAUGGGUAAGAUGGCAGUGUUGUAGCAUGCCAGUCUUACGCCAGACUAUGUGACUUCAGUGUCAAACCGUAUCGGUCCAGUACCUCUCAUUUCCUUCCAUGUACUACCACAUGUUUUCCGCAAGGAAUAUGGUUUAGUAAGUUGCAAACCGCUUUCAUGGUACACACCAAAGAGGAGAGGCCGUGAUGAUGGUUCCAUGGCCCUGGAUUAAAGCCAGUCAUCCAGUCAGCGGGCAUGGGUGUUUCCGGUUGGGACCGAGAGGGGGGCACCCCUUAGAGCGCGCGUAUAUAAAUUUGAUCCCAUGCUAUUCGAGAUUGUGAUCUCCCCGUCUCAAAAGUUUUUCUUGGACGAUGUCUAGGGUGAUUCCUAGCAUCGAGAGGUAAGGAUGGGUGUGUACUGGUUAGCUGUGUUUUCUUCCGAAAUACCGUAAACGGAACUAGUCCUUCGUGACUACGGAAAUCCGUUGGCUGUGGGAAUAAUUUUGUACAAACUCUGCAGAGUCAUAUAUCCCUUCACGUCAUCUAUUCCAUGUCCAAAUUCGUAUUAUCUUGUUCUAACAAUGACAGUGUUGAUGACAGAGACUCCGGUGUUUCGCAUGAGUGCUAAUUCCGGAAAUGAUAUUCCUGUGGAUGGACUAACCCAUUUAUUCUUAUGAAUUAAAAGUUUAUUAUGAUUAUUAUUUAUCUGUCCAUAAAAGCCCCUUCUGUGAUGUCGCCCCGACGUCCGACUGUGGCAUUUCUUUUCAAGCCCUUUCUGUGAUGUCGCCCCGAUGUCCGACUGUGGCAUUUCUUUUCAAGCCCUUUCUGUGAUGUCGCCCCGACGUCCGACUGUGGCAUUUCUUUUCAAGCCCUUUCUGUGAUGUCGCCCCGACGUCCGACUGUGGCAUUUCUUUUCAAGCCCUUUCUGUGACGUCGCCCCGACGUCCGACUGAGGUAUUUAUUUUUAAGCCCUUUAUGUGGUGUCGCUAAGACGCCCGACUGUGGCAUCUUUUUCUUUAUAAUUAUUUGUUCACCUUUCGGGGUGUCGCUUCAGACACCCGAUCGGAAAUUAUUUCUGUUCUGUUGGGAUUUCAGGCGGACUACCGCCGUUUCCCUUUUACUUACCUUGUUAUGAUAAUUUUGAACGUACAUUGGUGAAUUUAUUCAUGUCGCAUCCAUGCAUGCAUUUGUUAUAUCUUACGUCCGAACUGUCUUGCGAGUACGUUCAAAGUACUCACUGGCUUGUUGAUUUGGCCAGAUGCUGACGAAGGCGAUUUCCUGGAUGAAGAGUUCGAUAGCGAGUCCGACACUUAGAGGAGUCCCAGUCAGUCUCGUGCGACCCUGGAUUUGGUCACUGUUUUAUAUCCGCUUCCGCUACCAGAUAAAUUCAUCGAGCCUCACCUCGACGCUCGAUGAGAUGAUAGACUUAGAGUCUUGUAUUUCUCUCCGCGCUGUGUUUUUCCACCACCGCCCUAUCCUCGAGUCAGUAGUAUGUCUCCACACCACUGUGUCAUGUCCGCCAUUAUGUAUAAUUAUUGGCGUGCUUGUAAUGAUUUGGUUGAGCAACCGUAGUUCAACCCUGUAAUAUAUUUUAUGCUACUGGCUUAUUGUAUCAAGAAAUUGUCUACCAGUGAGGAGAAUUUCUCUCAUACUGGACUCAAAAGAUUGGUUUCUCAAUAAAUAUUUUUAUUGGAAAACCGGUCGUGACACCAUUCCCACACCGCCGUCUUCACCUGCACCACCGGAAGAGCAUCAUCAUCACGUUUCCUCGGAUGAAGCUGCGGCCUAAUCGGCGCCACCAAAGAGGUUGUACACUAAUCGCCGCAUUUUCUUCUUGAUUCGAUCUCUCGGUGCUGCCGGCGCUCAGUCCCGAGCCGACACGGCGCGGCUCCAUCAACGGCGGCGUCGCCGACCACUUCCUCCACGGUGUCGCUCCCUCGGCGGCGGCGCCCACAUCAGUAGGCGCUGCUGCUGCUUUAGCUCUCACUCGCGCCGCUGCUCUGCUCUUGCUCUCGGUCCUCUGCCUGGUCUGCUCUUGCUCUUGCUCUUGCUCGCGCUGCUGCUCUCGCUCUUGCUCUUGCUUGCGAUGCUGCUUUGAUUUAGCUACACUUCAAUCGACUGAAUCGACUUUUGGGUCAGNNNNNNNNNNNNNNNNNNNNNNNNNNNNNNNNNNNNNNNNNNNNNNNNNNNNNNNNNNNNNNNNNNNNNNNNNNNNNNNNNNNNNNNNNNNNNNNNNNNNNNNNNNNNNNNNNNNNNNNNNNNNNNNNNNNNNNNNNNNNNNNNNNNNNNNNNNNNNNNNNNNNNNNNNNNNNNNNNNNNNNNNNNNNNNNNNNNNNNNNNNNNNNNNNNNNNNNNNNNNNNNNNNNNNNNNNNNNNNNNNNNNNNNNNNNNNNNNNNNNNNNNNNNNNNNNNNNNNNNNNNNNNNNNNNNNNNNNNNNNNNNNNNNNNNNNNNNNNNNNNNNNNNNNNNNNNNNNNNNNNNNNNNNNNNNNNNNNNNNNNNNNNNNNNNNNNNNNNNNNNNNNNNNNNNNNNNNNNNNNNNNNNNNNNNNNNNNNNNNNNNNNNNNNNNNNNNNNNNNNNNNNNNNNNNNNNNNNNNNNNNNNNNNNNNNNNNNNNNNNNNNNNNNNNNNNNNNNNNNNNNNNNNNNNNNNNNNNNNNNNNNNNUGUUUUCGAGGCGGGUGGGGCGGCGCGCCGCCGGCCGCAGGCGGCGGGGGGCGGCUGUUUGGCCGGUGGUGGCUGGCGGCUCAUGGGGUGGAGGUUGAAGAUGAACUGCAGGCCCUUGAUUUUGUAUCCAACGGCUGCAAAAUCGACUGACCAGAGAUGAAAAAGUCAGUCGACUGACGUGUAGCCUCACCUGUAGUGCAUUCAGUUUUGACAGUAAAAUUCAGUUUCGAUAGCAAAAUUCAGUUUUGAUAGUUAAGUUCAGUUUCGGCAGUUAAAUUCAGUUUCGACAGUUAAGUUCAGAGAUGAGCGGCUGAUGUAUACAUCUAGCACUUUGUGGUUAUGUAUUUUAUGUCAUCUAUUGGAGAUGCUAUUAGAAUUCCACUCAGGUUAACGUUGUCUCUCUUGUCCUGCUUCAGCCUCGGCGUCGUACAACUCAUCGGAGCUGCUCCAACGACGAAACCCUCCAUCACAGCAGAGCAGUACCUCGGGCUCCAUCUCCAGACGCCUAAGAUCUUCUUCCCCUCCUCCGACAGCCAAGUCAGCUGGAGCAUCCUCAUCGUCCAACCCAAUCAUGCUGAGAUCGACAUGGCUUCGCCAAAGAGGUUGUACACUUGUUGCAUAUCUUUUUUACUCUACAUGUUAUAUAUAUUGUCCACUGAGCACACGGAGUAACGGGGAAUACGAUCAUUUUAUCCUACUAUAUGACAAGCAGUGAGGUACCAGGCAACUUAGCUAUCCGUGAUGGACUCUCUUGAACGCCAUCAUUAUUUAUCUUUGCGCGUUUGAGCUGUGCAUUUGUCGAUGGCCCUGGGAGUUGAGCUAGUAGGGCAGUGGCCUGGGUCCAAAGUAAUAGAAGUAGCACAAAAACAUUUUUUUAGUGUAGGCUUUUCCUUGCUCAAGCCUGCCUACUGGAAUCGCCAGUGCUUGAAAGGAAAAGUGAAUGAAAAACCUAGGAAUUGGAAAGUUUCAUAUGGUACUACUUUUCAUGAAUUUGGUGCAAAGGAAUGGAGCAAAGGAAAACUGUAGGAUUUGUUCCUUUAGUGUCUCCUUGAAAGAAAAACCAUAUGAAUUUUAAUUUCCACUUGUCUUCCUUUUCAAAUUCCUAUUCAUGAAGCACAAGACUAAGAGAUAGUAGCAUAAUAGCAUUAUAACCGUACAUUUUCUUGUAGUUUAUCUUAAUCUCACCAUGCUUCUUUGCAUCCUAUGAUCUUCCAAUUUUUGUGAACGAAACACCCAGAUUGGCAGAAAUCCUCUGUUUUAAAAUUCUCUGUUUUGCACGUGCAUUCCUAUCCUAGUCCUGUCUAUUUCCUAUCCCUGCAUUGUUAGAAUCCUCAAAUUCAAACAAGCCCUUACACAAUUAAUUCUAUUACAGAUAUGUGUCAAAGAAAACCUUGUGUGGUUUGUCCUGCUCCUGCGGUGAUGUGUUCCACCCCAGCUCAGCUGCUCCAAAGAUGGAAGGGUUCACCACAGCAGGGAUCCGCUCUCCAGACUGUCUUUCGCCGCCUCAGAUCUUCUUCCCCGCCGUCGGCAGCCAUGACAACUGCAUUACCAUCAUCAACUGAGUAGAUGACCUUGACGACUACAUGGGUCCGCAAGAGAGGUCGCACUCUUCCUUGUCUGCUUACGUUAUGCAUCGCUUAAUAUGAUGACAUGCUACUUUAUCAUCGUGUUCACCUAUUAGACUCCGAGUCAGGUCCAAACUUAUGCUGAAACUUGAGUUUUUAAAUGGUUGUGGGGUACAUAUUGGGGCAGCAAUCAGUACUAUCUGUCUACUAUCUGGUUAAUCUCGGGUGUCUACUAUGAGUUUCAUGUUGGGUGCAAACAAACAUUAAAGGAGCCAUUAUCUGUAUUUUUUUAACUAAAGCUAUUAUCUGCCUGCUAUCAUUGGUUUUGGGUCUAUCCACAGUUUGCUACCAUCACUCUGGAUUUGUGCAUGCACUCCUUACAUAAUCUCACUAUGUUUUAUUCCUAUGCAUGUCAGUUAUUGUACACAAUGGAACUAAGCAUGUAGAGCAAAAGAUACGAGCCUUGUGUGGCAAUAAAAUUUCAUGCAAACGUCGCUCCAUGGUUGGUGAGGGAGUCCUGGAUUAGGGGGUCUCCGGACAGCCGGACUAUCUCCAUUAGCCGGACUGUUAGACUAUGAAGAUACAAGAUUGAAGACUUCGUCUCGUGUCCGGAUGGGACUCUACUUGGCGUGGAAGGCAAGCUAGGCAAUACGUAUAUGGAUACCUCCUCCUUUGUAACCGACCUUGUGUAACCCUAACCCUCUCCGGUGUUUAUAUAAACCGAAGGGUUUUAGUUCGUAGGACAACAAUCACAACAUACAAUCAUACCAUAGGCUAGCUUCUAGGGUUUAGCCUCUCUGAUCUCGUGGUAGAUCUACUCUUGUACUACCCAUAUCAUCAAUAUUAAUCAAGCAGGACGUAGGGUUUUACCUCCAUCAAGAGGGCCCGAACUUGGGUAAAACUUCGUGUCCCCUGCCUCCUGUUACCGUCCGGCCUAGACGCACAAUUCGGGACCCCCUACCUGAGAUCUGCCGGUUUUGACACCGACAUUGGUGCUUUCAUUGAGAGUUCCUCCGUGUCGUCGCCGUUAGGCUUGAUGGCUCCUACUAUCAUCGAUAGCAAUGCGGUCCAGGGUGAGACUUUUCUCCCCGGACAGACCUUCGUAUUCGGCGGCUUUGCACUGCGGGCUAAUUCGCUUGGCCAUCUGGAGCAGAUUGAAAGCUACGCCCCUGGCCAUCAGGUCAGAUUUGGUAGUUUGAACUACACGGCCGACAUCCGCGGAGACUUGAUCUUCGACGGAUUCGAGCCACAGUCGGGCGCGCCGCACUGUCGCGAUGGGUAUGACCUAGCUCUGCCGCCGAACAGUAACCCAGAAGUCGCGCCCGCAUCAGCUCCGACCCUUAGUUCGGAGCCAACUACGCCAAUCAAGGAUGGGUGGUUAGACACCGCCUCAGGGGCUGCAGUCUCAAUGGCGAUCGAGCUGAACACCAGCAUAACCCUCUGCGCAGCCCGUGACUCCAAGGUGCCAGACUCUCUUUCUGACCCCGAAUCGCCCGCGCCCCUGCCAAUCGAAUCCGAUUGGGCGCCGAUCAUGGAAUUCACCGCCGCGGAUAUCUUUCAGCACUCGCCCUUCGGCGACAUUCUGAAUUCACUAAGGUCUCUCUCUCUUUGUCAGGAGAGCCCUGGCCGGAUUACGACCAACAGGAUUGGGAUGCGGACGACGAAAGAAUUCGACGCCCACCCACCACCCACUUAAUAGCCACUAUUGAUGACUCAACCGACAUGCUCGACUUUGACUCUGAAGACAUCGACGGUAUGGACGACGAUGCGGGAGGCAAAAAGGAACCACCGCCCAUGGGGCGCUGGACGUCCACUUCAUCAUAUGAUGUAUACAUGGUGGACACACCAAAAGACGACGACGACGAGGAACGGGAGGACACACCGAAGGCUUGUUCCCUCGAGAAGCAGUCAAAGCGGCGCGCCGCCCCAAAUGCCGCCUCUGCAGAAAUAAUGAUCAUACAGACCCAGCAUUGGAGCAGGGCGAACCACGGCCGGACCACGGCAAUACGGAGAAUCAAACCGAACAAACCAAUUCUGUCAAAGAUAAUAGUCCGGACGACAUAAUGCUGGACAGGCACCCGGAGCAGCAGAAUGCCCGUCAAAGGCUUGUUGCCACCGCGAGGAGUCUAAAAAAGCAGAAGCAAAGGCUCAAGGCUGCGCAAGACACACUCCAAAUCAGAUGGAGUAAAGUACUCAACACAGCAGCGUGGUACGGCGACAAUCGCCCCACCAAGAGCUACCCAAAGCGGAAGUUGCUACCUGAAUUCGAUGAGGAGGCCUCAGACCCCCCACAACCAAAAAUCAAAACAGCCACCUGGCCAGAUAGACGACCUCACGGCCAACAUCGAGCGGCAAACAACGCCACUCACAAGCCAAUACGCGAUCCACGCGAGGGCUCGCACCAAAAGAACGGCGCAACCAGAUCCAUCUAUGGACCAUGCAAGCGCGCCCCAGCAUACAACAUAACACAACAAGCAUCCGAACAACGCGGUACACCCAGAUACAGGGGUGCCGCACACCCCCUAUGUUUCACCGAUGAGGUGCUGGACCAUGAAUUUCCAGAGGGAUUCAAACCCGUAAACAUAGAGGCAUACGAUGAAACAAUAGACCCUGGGGUCUGGAUUGAGGAUUAUAUCCUCCAUAUCCAUAUGGCUCGAGGAUAUGAUCUCCAUGCCAUCAAGUACUUACCCCUCAAGCUCAAAGGGCCAGCUCGUCACUGGCUUAAAGGCCUCCCCGAAAACUCCAUUGGAAGCUGGGAAGAGCUCGAAGACGCUUUUCGGGCAAAUUUUCAAGGGACUUAUGUCCGACCUCCGGAUGCGGACGAUUUGAGUCAUAUAACUCAACAGCCCGGAGAGUCAGCCCAAAAACUUUGGAAUAGGUUUCUUACUAAAAAGAACCAAAUUGUCGACUGUCCGGACGCCGAAGCCUUGGUAGCUUUUAAGCAUAGCAUCCGUGACGAAUGGCUCGCCAGACACCUCGGCCAAGAAAAGCCGAGAACAAUGGCAGCAUUAACAAGCCUCAUGACCCGCUUUUGCGCGGGUGAGGACAGCCGGCUAACCAGAAGCAGCACCAGCGACCCCAGUACAUCUGAAGUUAGAGAUGGAAACGGGAAAUCACGGCGCAACAGCAGUAACAAACGCCGGAAUAAAGAAGACAUCACGAAGAGCACGACAGUAAACGCCGGAUUCAAAAGCUCUCGGCCAGGUCAGCAAAAGCCGCCCUCUAUAGGCGCCAGAGACGAACUGUCUAGCCUAAACAAAAUUCUGGACCAAAUAUGUCAGAUCCAUAGCACUCCUGGUAAACCUGCUAAUCAUACCCACAGAGAAUGUUGGGUCUUCAAGCAGUCUGGUAAGCUCAACGCCGUACACAAGGGGGAGGAUACACCAAGCGAAGACGAGGAUGAGCCUCUCAAGCAAGACACUGGGGAGCAAAAGAAAUUCCCACCAGAAGUCAAAACAGUAAACGUGUUACACAUGAUCAAGGGAAGAAACAAAAUGGCACUCCCAGAAAAAUAUGCCCAAGUACCUAUCACCGCGGAGUCCUGCCACUGGUCGUCUCAACCGAUCACUUUCGACCAUCGUGAUUACUCAGCAAGUAUCCGGCGUAUAGGAUGGGCUGCCCUGGUAUUAGACCCAAUAAUUGACGGAUAUCACUUCACACGAGUCCUGAUGGAUGAUGGCAGCAGUCUAAACCUGAUAUAUCAGGAUACAAUCUGCGAAAUGGGGAUAAACCCAACAAAAAUUUGCCAUAGCAAUACUACCUUUAAAGGAGUAACGCUAGGCCCAGGGGCUCAUUGCACGGGCUCCCUGCUACUAAAAGUUAUAUUCGGCUCCCCCGAUAACUUCCGUAGCGAACAUUUAACCUUCCACAUCGCUCUGUUCCAAAGUGGCUAUCAAGCACUACUCGGACGCAAAGCUUUCGCUCGCUUUAAUGAAAUACCGCACUAUGCUUCCCUCACACUCAAGAUGCCCGGUCCACGUGGCAUGAUUACAGUAAACAGAAGUAUUAAGCGAUCUUUGCGCGCCGAAGAGAGUGCGGCUGCCUUGGCAGCCGCACACUAAAAACGGCCUCACCAACUAAAGCAUUUAACAGGUCGUCAAGACCUCAGACACGGUUAGACGAGUCCGGCACAGCUAUAUGUAAUUCAUACCGGAUCAAUGGUCACACCCCUAUACAAGGGGCUCAACGCGCGCAGACAAGUGGCAAUUUUUACUCAUCUCAAAUUAUAUUUGGUUCCCUUAAAAACUAUCCUUUUGCACGACAACUUUUUCACCUAAGUUCCUCUCUUUUACAGAUGAUCAUCGUGCUACACCCAUCCAGGAUACGGCACAACGGAGACACAGGCGCAGACGUGCAGCAAGGACCCGCUCCAAGGAUUCUUUUUAGAUUAAGACCCUGCAUAAACCUUUUUUACUGUCUCUUGUUGAUACAUAUCCACCGAAUUCUCAGCACAGUUGAGAAGGAUACUGACGUCUUGGCAUGUGGCCACGUCAGAAUAAUGCACGUACCUGGACACAAGGGGCUUCUUACGAAGGGCACUAUUUAGGCCUGGUUUAUACCAUAAAGACCGAAUACCUUAGGGAGUGUUCGGUGUCGCGAGUUUGGCCUUAUAUGCAUCAGCUCCGAAUCAUUGUCUUUGGUCAAAUGUUGGGUUUGCCCGGCUCCUGUGUUUUGGUGCCUUACGUUCCACUUUACCGGCUAAGGUAGCACCAGGAGAACUACUGCGAUUGUGCCCUGGUUCAUCUGGACGAGCACCUUAGUAGAGAAAGCCGAAAACUGACUGUCAUGAUAUAGCAUGAGACUGGUCAACCACUCGGUGACCUAUCGGAAUGUUAGAAUUCCUCCACCUUAACGAAGGGCCGUUUUCCGGCUAGGCAUGUAUGCACCCCGCGAUCGGGAGAGUGCGGAGCCACCAGGGGCUAUCUAGUAGCCCCACUGUCAAACUCCUAUGGCUAAGUGAAGGUGUUAAAGCAUUAUAGUCCGGUUGCCUCGCUCGCUACGCUAUCACGUCCUUAAUAGGACCAAGACGAUGGGUUAAGUGUGAACACGCGUUUUUUGCGAGCACCUCCGCAUUAUAUGCGUGGGGGUUGAAGCCGACGGCUGCAAUCUUUCAGGUUAUACACAUGUAUACAUAAACGGCCGCACAGGAGGCAUCAUACUACUUUCAGGCAAAAGUAUAAACAUAACCUUAUAAAAACUUCAUAAAAGCAUUGUGCUUACAAUGAGAAUACAUAUCACUCAAACAUAAUAUUCUUCAAGCAUUGGGCCUCUAUCAAACGAGCACCCUCGAGAACCUCCUCGAAAUAGUGCUCGGCAGCCACCCGGCCUAUGGCCGAACCCUGCGCCGCAACAGUGGUAGCGUCCAUCUCUGCCCAGUAUGCUUUAACACGGGCAAGGGCCAUCCGUGAGCCUUCUAUGCACACCGACCUCUUCAUCGCAUUAAUGCGCGGCACCGCAUCAAGGAACUACUGCACUAAGCUGAAAUAGCUGCUCGGCUUUGGCCUUUCCGGCCAUAGCUGAUCCACAACAGACCUCAUGGCGAGUCCGGACAACCUAUUUAGUUCGGCCCAUUCGGCUAGCUGGUCAGUCAAUGAAAGCGGACGCUCUGGAACGUGGAAUUGCGUCCAGAACAGCUUGUCCACUUCACGAUCUGACUGACCUUGGAAGUACUUGGCCGCAUCGGCAGCACUCGCCGCCAAAUCCAUAUACGCAUCUGCCGAACUCCACAGCCGAUCCAGAGGGGCAUACCGUGGAUCUCCGAAUUUCCUCCGUAACAUGAAGGGUUUCCCAGCCGCAAUAUCCCCGGCUUCCCGCAGCUCCUCCUUCUUCGCUCUCAUAGCAGAACGGGUGUCUUUGUCCGCCGCCGCGGCCUUCUCAAGGUCCGUUGCCUUCGCUCGGUUUUCUUUUUCAAGGACCCGGCAACGGUCGGCAGUGUCUUUUCAUUCUACGGCCAUCUUGGCCAUCUUCUCUUGGCUCUCGCAAUGUGCGGCCUUUUCGGCUUUCAACUCUUCGGCCGCCUUCAAAGCAGCCGCAUUACUAAUCCUCGCUUGUUCCUUGGCUCGGGCAAGUUCUGCCCGCAAGGCUUCCACGGUGGCAGCUCCAUCUGCAGUCACAACAUAUUAAAGAUACUGGCGUCAUGCUGCUCUUACUAUGUGGCAUUCACCGGAUAAUAACACUUACCCUGUGCCUCGUCAAGCCUCUUGUUAACAAGCUCGAUGUCGGCGUCUGCCGCAUCCAGUUGCCAUUUUAAUUUGGCAAACUCACUAGUCCGGCUAGCCACCGGAGCUUCCACCACCUGCACAUAGGGGCAGUCUGGUUAUUGCCUGGGAAUAUGAUCCUCUGUUCGCCGCCGUUCUCGACGACAACCAGAGUCUCAGGGGCUACUAUCUACACAGAGCACACCUAACAUGUGCAGUACUAUCACAUAUUAUCUCACGUACCUCAAAGCCUGUCAGUAGACUCAUAAAGGCUUCAUGUAAUCUGCUUUUGGCGGACGAGAUUCUCUCCAUCACCGUACCCAUCAGCAUAUGGUGUUCUUCUAAGAUGGCUGCUCGCCCCACCAACUCCCUCAGAACGUCCGACCGCACACCAGACGGUGUCGGACUCUUUUGUAUGCUCUCUUCGGGAAACGGACACUGGGGACUUCGGGGGUCUACGGGAUUAUCUUCUGGCCUCACCGGAUCCGGAGAGGCCCUCCGUGACGACACUUCGGGGUCGCCCGCUUCUGGAGCGGAGGAGUCCGGGGGAGGCGUUUCACUCUCCAUCAUCUCUGGAAGAAAAUCUCCCGAAGACAAGCUCAUUUGAGAGGGGCUAAGGCCCGAACUGCAAGAUAUAUGCGGUGGUUAUUUUCUCAGAGAAAAAAGAUAGCAUACCUUUACUAUUAAAGUAUUUUGGAUCACUUACGACUCGUUGGAGGGCUGAUCCCCCCGCGGACUUUGUGCGGCAAAAGCACCCCCCAAGGCAGGACCCUUUGUGGGAGACUUCUUCUCCCGUUUGGAGGCCUCGGCUUCCGGAUCCUCAGAAGCAGUCCUUUUCCUCCCCCGGUCGUCCUCCUCCGUGGUGACGCUCAUUCCCUCGGUUGGAACGGGCAGCGACGGGGGCCCGCGUCUGCCCGUAUUAUGCCCCCUGUAUCUUCCUUCAAGGGCUCCGGGCAAGGUGCGACCUCAAGCAUCUUUUCCAAUACCAGAUUUUCCAAACCCUCAGGGAGGGGGGCCAAACACCGAAUCAUCUUCGCCUUUGUUAGCCAGUUCUGGUCAAAAAGCAAACUCUCAGAAAUAACUUUGAAUAAAAGACAGUGUGUUCGGCUAGAGAAUUUCUUACUUGUUCGGCAGCGCGGUUACUGCUCAGGCCCACGUCCUCGGUAAUAUCCAGACAUUCUACUUGAGGUCCGAAGAAUGACUUGUACAUCUCCUUGUGCGUCAGGCCGAGGAAACUUUGAAUGGCACGUGGUCCCUCUGGGUUGAACUCCCACAAGCGAAGGGGCCGGCGUUUGCAAGGCUGGACUUGACGAGCCAGCAUAACUUGUAUUAUCGCAACCAAAUUAAAAUCUCCCUCGAAGAGAUCUCGGAUGCGGCUUUGCAGUAUAGGCACGUCCUUGGCUGGACCCCAGCUCAGACCUCUACUAAUCCAUGACAUCAGUUGUGGUGGGGGGCCCGAGCGGAAAGCGGGGGCAGCCGCCCACUUGGCACUUCUGGGAGCCGUGACGUAAAACCACUCCCGUUGCCAUAAUUCGGACACCUCUGGAAAGGAACCUUUCGGCCAUGGAGCUCCUGCCAUCUUGCCUAUUGAUGCACCUCUGCACGCUGCAUGUUACCCCUUGAUCAUCUUCGGCUUUACUUCAAAGGUCUUGAGCCACAGGCCGGAGUGAGGGGUAACGCGGAGGAAGGCCUCGCACACGACAAUAAAUGUCGAGAUGUGGAGAAAGGAGUCCGGAGCUAGAUCGUGGAAAUCUAGCCCGUAAUAGAACAUCAAACCCCUGACGAAAGGAUCCAGAGUGAGGCCUAGACCUCGGAGGAAGUGGGAGACGAACACAACAUUCUCGUUGGGUUCGGGAGUAGGGACGAUCUGCCCUCGAGCAGGCAGCCGAUGUGAAACCUCGGUGGUCAGGUAUCUGGCCUCCCUCAACUUCUUAAUGUCCUCUUCCGUAACGGAGGAGGGACGUCCAUCAGCCUUGGAGGCUGGAUCCGGACAUGAUUGAAGAUCCGGAGCACCUAACCUGGGCUUUGGGUGUUAGAACUCGAGGCAGGGGAAGGGUUCAAUUGAGCACGAGCGGAAAAAAGCAAAAACCUUGUCCCCUUAUAAAGAGGGUGAAUAUCAAGCAUCCUCUCCGUAGCCGUUUGGGACUUGCCUAUAAUCUAGGAGUCCUAGACACGGUUGGGUUACCCAUGACCACAUUAAUGAGAAUCCCAUAAUUGGGGAAACACGAUCUCCGCUUCGGCAAGACGUGUCAAGAAACCGUCCCGCGUUAUGUGUGGAGCUGGUUAAAAGAAACGGUUCGAAUAAUCACCGGGCCAUGACAUAACGUCAUGCUGCCAAAACAAGCCAGCAAAUUAGAUCUGCGAAAAAUUAUUCUCUCUGCGGUGGAAUGUGGAACUUAUUUUGCAAGGUCGGACACUAUCCUCGUAUUCAAAUUCUUUUGUGAUGUAUUCGGAGAAGGAACCCGCCUUGCAAUGCCGAAGAUAAUACUGCGCGCCGGACUCAUCGUCAUUGAAGCCUGGUUCAGGGGCUACUGAGGGAGUCCUGGAUUAGGGGGUCUCCGGACAGCCGGACUAUCUCCAUUAGCCGGACUGUUAGACUAUGAAGAUACAAGAUUGAAGACUUCGUCUUGUGUCCGGAUGGGACUCUACUUGGCGUGGAAGGCAAGCUAGGCAAUACAUAUAUGGAUAUCUCCUCCUUUGUAACCGACCUUGUGUAACCCUAACCCUCUCCGGUGUCUAUAUAAACCGAAGGGUUUUAGUCCGUAGGACAACAAUCACAACAUAAAUCAUACCAUAGGCUAGCUUCUAGGGUUUAGCCUCUCUGAUCUCGUGGUAGAUCUACUCUUGUACUACCCAUAUCAUCAAUAUUAAUCAAGCAGGACGUAGGGUUUUACCUCCAUCAAGAGGGCCCGAACCUGGGUAAAACUUCGUGUCCCCUGCCUCCUGUUACCGUCCGGCCUAGACGCACAGUUCGGGACCCCCUACCCGAGAUCCGCCGGUUUUGACACCGACAGUGGGCGCAAAGGCAACCCCCCUCCACCCAUUUUGGAUCAUAAUCAAGAGGGAGAUAACUGUUUUGAGGGGGAUUCAGAAGUAGAAGACCAUUGCUAUUUACUCCAUGAGGUCUUCGAUCUAACUUGGCAUGCUGAUGUUGGUUAUAUCAUGCAUAUGGUGCCUUGCAUUGCUUACUUUAUACAUCAAAUAUAUCAACUGCUUAGUUUAGACAUGCUUUGUGUGAAUGCCAUCUGUUUAGUUUAUUCAUCGUUUAUGUGAAUUAUGCAAUGCCAUCUUGUUUAACCAGGCAUCAUAUAUGUGAAUUUUGCAAUGCCAUCCUUCUUAGCCAGUCAUCUUAUAUGUGAAUUAUAUCAGGCCAUCCUUUUUUUCAUCACGUAUUACAUUUUUCAACAAUGUUAGUACAUUCAAAUACUCUUCGUGUGCAUCAACCAUUUGACACAAUGAUGGAAAAUUCUGGAGUGAAAACAAGGUCUUCAGAGCAGACUAUGCUAUCUGACGAAGCGCAUAUCUUGCUGGUGACGGAUAGCUCCUCAGAGGAGGAUUUAGAGACAGAUGACCAGUCCUAUUCCCACCCGAGGUGUAUGCUCUAAUUAACUUGGCAGGGUUAUGUUGCUCAUAUCGUGCGUAUGGUGUCUUGCAUUGCGAUGUCAUUUGAUUAGUUCAGACAUGCUUUGUGUGAAUGCCACCUGUUUAGUGUCUAAUUACCAUAUAUGUGAAUUAUGCAUUGCCAUCUUGUUGCAAGACAUUAUAUAUGUGAAUUAUGCAAUGCUAUCUUGUUGCAAAGGCAUUAUAUAUGUGAAUUAUGCAAUGCCAUGCUGUUGAGCCAAUCAUCAUGUAUGUGAAUUAUAUCAUGCUAUCAUUUUUUUGUAUUACGUGUUCCAUUUGUCGACAACGUUUGUAUAUUCAACUACUCUUCCUGUGCAUCAGCCAUUUGAAGCGAUGAUGGAAGUAUCUGGAGUGAAAACAAGGUAUUCAGAGCAGACAAUGCUACCUGCUGAAGCAGACAUCUUGCUGGAUACAGAGAGCUCCUCAAAGGAGGAUUCAGAGACUGAUGACCAGUCCUAUUUCCCCCCUGAGGUCUAUGCUCAAACUUGGUAGGGUUAUAUUACCCAUGUCAUGCAUGUUGUCUGCAUUGCUUAGUUUUUACAUCAUAUAUGGAUUGCCAUCUGCUUACUUGCUUACUAUAUAAAUCAUAUAUUUCAAUUAUAUCAUGCCAUCAUGUUUACAUACACAACAUCUAUUUGAAUUAUGGCAUGGCAACCCAUUUAAUAAAUACAUCAUAUAGUUAUAUCAUCCCAUCCUGUUUAGUAUUUACAGUCAUCAUAUUUUGAAUUAUGUCAUUCUAUCCGGGAAUUAUAUCAUGCUAUCAUGUUUCCAUAGGCGGCAUGUAUGUGAAUUAUGGCAGGCCAACCUAUUUAAUAAACACAUUAUAUAGUUAUAUCAUGUCAUCCUGUUUACAUAGUCAUCAUAUUUUGAACUAUGUCUUUCCAUCUUUUUUAGUUAGCCAUCAUCAUGUGAAAUUGUAUCAUACUAUCCUGUUUAGUUAGCCAUCAUAUAUGUGAAAUUGUGUCAUGCUAUCCUAUUUGGUUAGAAAACAUAAAUGUGAAUUAUUUCAUGCCCUCUUUUAUUCCCCACUAUCCAUUGCACCUGUCUAUCAUACAAUGCCUGUACAUUCAAUUACUUUUCUUGUUUAUCAGCCAUUUGAAUUGGAGAGGGUGAUGGCAGUAUCUAAGGGAGUAACAACAUGGUCUUCAGAAAAGAUAGUGCUACCAGUUGAUGAAGAUAGAACAACGGUUGUACUUGCCCAAGAACCAGCCCCACCACACAUAACCCAUACUCUCGCAGAUUGUACCCCUACCUAGUUGGACAAAGAACCAGCUACACCCCUUCUAACCCCAACCCCAGCAGAUAGUAACCCAGUUCCAGUUGACACAACACCGUCUCCACCACAGAGCACCCAAACACGAGCAGUUAGUAAGGGAACUGCAGUGCCCAAAGCACAAGGACCACCACUCCGAAUCCCAACUCAAUGCUUAAAGGAGAAGAAGAAUUGUUCUCAGGUCAGGUUCUGUAGCUAUGGUUCAUACUCCUUUGCUCUUGCAUCACUGUAUUUACUCAGACAAACUAUUUUAAAAUUUGAAGGCUGGAAUUGAAACUCUAAUGGCGCAAUAGGUAUGUUUUAAACUUGUUUCUUUAACUGGUUUGCUAUUGUAACUUUAUCUAUAUUGAUUUCAGUUUCAAUUGAAUAAACAGUUAUGUUCUCAUGUCAUGCACAUUACAAGUGUCUCUAUAGUUUCCCACACUUAUAUUCUGUCUAUUCUGCUUUGUCUUGAACAAAUAUUAUUUGAACUGUGUCUCUAUCUUGAUUUGGCAACAAAAACUAGAAUGAUAUAGACCAUAAAGUGACCAUGGCACAAAGAUAUAUGUUUGUUUCAUGCUGUUAUCCUGUGCACUUUACUACUGAACAGAUUUACCAAAAUGAGUUUCAUAUACAACAUGGUAAACCUGGGAUGUGUCUGCUUGUUUCUCUUUUAGAAUGCGGACAAAAUAUUGGAGAACAAUACCCCGUUAUGCAAUGGUGAAGGAAGUAAUGCAGAUAAGGUUCAAGAUAGUGAGACAUCCCUGUUGGUCUCCAAGAAAGCUGAUAAAAACUACCUUGACGAUAGUGAGAGAACCCAGAAGUCCUGUCUUGAUGUAGUGUUCGAGUUAUUGGCCACUACUGCCGGCACAAGCUCUUCGAACUCGCUGCCGGAAUCAGCUCGUCUUCUUGAGUCUCAGCUUCAAGUUGAAAGACAUCGAUCAGAUGUGUUGCGACAGGAAGCUGAAGGACUGAGGAAGUCCCUGCAGAAUUCAGAUGCAUACUUUCUGGUGCAACAGUAAGCGCUGGAGGAUUUAAGCGCCAAACAAGAAAAAGUUAAUAAGCUUGCUAAGCAUCUUGCCAGCAUUAUGGGUACCCAGGAUAUUGUUUCUUGAGAUCUUCUGAAGUGGUUUCAAUUCUGGACUUGUUUUGUUGCGUCGUUUAUUUGCACUGGUCGCCAACUUUGACAACCAGUGUAUAUGAUAUGCUGCUUUGUUCCCUAUAUUUGCACUGGUGGCGAACUUUGAUGCCCAGUGGAUGUAAUAUGUGUAAUAGCCGUGAUAGCCUAGCAUAAGUUGCUUGCUUAUUUAUUUCCUUGUUGUCUUGUUUAUUUGUUUGCUUGUAGUCAGUGUUGUUCUUUUUCCGCGGUUUGGUAGUGGCCGCAAUAACCUAUUUUUUAAAACUAGGCCACAAUAACCAUGGGCUACAUAUUUACUAUAGUGACACCGGGCCUUCUACGGGCCGUAGAAACAAUGGGCCUUCUAUGGGGCGUAGAAACAAUGGGCCUUCUACGGGCUGUGUCAUCAAUGGGCCUUCUACGGGCCGUAUCAUCAAUGGGCCUUCUACGGGCCGUAUCAUCAAUGGGCCUUAUACGGGCCGUAUGAUCAAUUGCCCAAACAUGGGCCAAUAACAUACCGCUUUAUGGCCGUAAACGGGCUAGAGUUGGAAUCGUCCGUUCAUGGGCCGACCAAAAUGGGCCGUCGUUAAUCGACUGUAUUUGAUGAUGCCAUGAAAACGACCCAACAUAUUAACGGGCCACAAAUGGGCCGACUGUAAGCACGGGCUGAAUUUGGCCCACAAGCAGAAAAUGACAGUAACGGGCAGUAAGUAACCGAAUGCUAGAAAUGAGCCCAAGAAUAAAUGGGCCCUGAGAAGGCCGAAAGAUAACAUGGGCUGGAAAUGGCCCAACGGAAUAAUGGUCCGUUAAUGGGUAUAAAGUGAUACACUGUUCAUUACGGGCCAAUUUUACCACGUGCCAUUAAUGGGCCGAGGGUUACUAAGGGCCUCAUAUGGGCUGAAAGAUGUCAUGGGCCAUACAUGGGCCGAAAGUUAAAACGGGAUGGAAUUAUAUUGGACAGCCCAGAUGACACUACUGGGCCUAAUUAGGAUAGGCCGUAAACGGGCCCUGGGUUAGCGGGCUGUAAAUGGGCUAUAUGUGAACAGGCCGUUAACAGGUUUGCCGUGGGCCGGCCCACCACCUUUUUACCAAGUCAAACGGGCCGGCCUUUUCAUAGGAAUGGGCCUCUGUUGGGCCGUGCCACAUGUCGACGUAUCAUAGGCGCUUUGGGUCCAAUGAGUGGAUGACAUCUAUCCCAACGGUGAGCCGACACGUGUUUCCUCCAGCCAAUGAUGAUUUUACACGUGGAAAAUCCCCAUUGGUCGGGGCUGUUAACGGGUUAUCGGAUCCAAAACCGGACUCGAUAGCUUAACGACGUUCCGUUACGAUGGAUGCCACGUGUCGGUCACCCUUGACGAAAGCACUUCUGUGAUGCACGAUUUAUCGUAAUGGAAGUGGACACUUCCGUGAUGAUAAUUUUGGUAAUGUCAUGGAACACUUCUACGACAGCACAUGUAUGACUAUCUUGAUUCUGUCAUAAAUUUGUCAUGGAUGUACAUGCAUGACAGAAAACAUGACCUACUGUGACAAACACGUAUCAUCACGGAAGUGUAUUUUUUUUGUAGUGAUAGGUAGAUAUGGUGGACUCUCAUGGCAAAACUAGGUUUAAGGAUAUUUGGAAGCACAAGUAGUAUCUCUACUUGGUGCAAAGAAUUUGGCUAGCAUGAGGGGGAAAGGCAUGCUCAACAUGUUGGAUGAUCCAUGACAAUAUAAUUUAUUUCAGAUGUAAGAAAACAUAACCCAUUACGUUGUCUUCCGUGUCCAACCUCAACCUUUUUAGCAUGUCAUAUUUUAAUGAGUGCUCACAAUCAAAAAAGAUGUCCAAGAUAGUAUAUUUAUAUGUGAAAACCUCUCCUUCUUUAUUACUUCCUAUUAAUUGCAACGAUGACCAAAACUAUGUUUGUCAACUCUCAACAACUUUUAUUCAUCAUACUCUUUAUAUGUGAAGUCAUUACUAUCCAUAAGAUCAAUACGAUCUCUUUAUUUCUUUUUAUUCUUUCUCUUUUUUCCUCAAGAUCAUAGCAAGAUAACCAAGCCCUUGACUCAAAACUAACCUUUAUUAUAUAUAGCUCAUGGACUCAAUUACAUAGAAAGAUCAUAAAGCAAACUCAAAACUAAAUCAUACUAAAACUUUAUUCUACUAAAUCAAGAUAUUACCAAAUGGAUCGAACUAAGAAAAACGGUAAAGAUAAAGGUGUGAUGGUGAUAUGAUACCGGGGCACUUCCCCAAGCUUGGCAGUUGCCAAGGGGAGUGCCCAUACCCAUGUAUUUAUGUCUCUUUCUUCGGACAUGGUGACGUGAUAUUCUUGGCGAUGAUGCCCUUCAGGAUACAAUUCUCUUCCUCAAGCUUAUUGACUUGCUGCUUGAGGUCCAUUAUUUCCUUACGGAGCUUGCCCAUGACGGCUAAAGCUCCUUUCACCCAUGGAUGUUGCAUAGCUGUGGGAGAACAAGUAACACUCUUUUUCAUAUUUUAAUAAGAAAGAAAUCUAACAUUGGAAGGGAUGACUGAGUUUGGAAUAGCUGAGCUAUGUAGUUCCCCCAUCGUGAAUCCGGCUCGGAAACGAGAAGUAACUUCUUGAUCCUCUUCCAUGGCAUCUAUCCUUUACAAGUCGGCCUCCAUCUCUUCCUCCUUUGAUGCCCCAAAGUGGUCAGCAUCACUGUUUGCUCUUGGUCCCGGUGUCGGAUGAGACACCCGGCUCUCCUCGAUUGACUCUUGAGAAGACAUCUUGACCUAAAUUUGCAGCAGAAAUAGCUCGAAACAAAACAAAGGAUAUUUGUGUGGUACGGUGGUCAAAACCUUCGGGAGAUUAUAUAAUGAAUUUUUACCGACCAAAAGAAGUAUCGUGCAAGAAAACGGAGCCUGGAGGGCACACGAGGUGCCCACGAGGCAGGGGGCGCGCCCAGCAGGGUAGGGCGCGCCCUCCACCCUCGUGGACGCCUCGUGUCCUUUCCGGACUGCUUCUUAUUUUCCUAUUUUCUUAAAUAUUCCAAAACGGAGAAAAAAUGCUAUUAGAACUGUUUUGGAGUCGGUAUACUUGCCCACAUACCUCUUCCUUUUCGGAGACUGAAACGUUCCAGGAGGCGUCCCUUAUAUACUCCUCCAGGGUUACGGUUUCAAUAACAUUAGUUUCAACAUUUAUAGGAUUACCUGAGAGAUAAUGUUUGAUUCUUUGACCGUUCAACACCCUCGGAUUUGUGCCUUCAAAGUUGUUGAUUUUUAUGGCACCGGAACGAUAGACCUCGUCGAUAACGUAAGGAUCUUCCCAUUUAGAGAGGAGUUUUCCUGCAAAAAAUCUUAAUCGAGAGUUGUAUAACAAUACAUAAUCACCUAAAUUAAAAUCACGUUUUUGUAUCCUUUGUCAUGCCAUCUUUUAACCUUUUUCCUUAAAUAUCUUGGCAUUCUCAUAGGCCUGGGUUCUCCAUUCAUCAAGUGAGCUAAUGUCAAAUAGUCUCUUCUCACCGACAAGUUUGAAGUCAUAAUUGAGCUCUUUAAUGGCCCAAUAUGCCUUAUGUUCUGGUUCGAGAGGUAAGUGACAUGCUUUUCCAUAAACCAUUUUAUAUGGAGACAUACCCAUAGGAUUUUUGUAUGCAGUUCUAUAGGCCCAUAAUGCAUCAUCAAGUUUCUUGGACCAAUUCUUUCUAGAUCUAUUAACAGUCUUUUGCAAAAUUAAUUUAAGCUAUCUAUUGCUCAGUUCUACUUGACCACUAGACUGUGGGUGAUAUGGAGAUGCAAUUCUAUGAUUAACAUCAUACUUAGCAAGCAUUUUACAAAAAGCACCAUGAAUAAAAUGUGAACCACCAUCAGUCAUUAAAUAUCUAGGGACUCCAAACCUCGGAAAAAUAACUUCUUUAAGCAUCUUAAUAGAGGUGUUAUGAUCAGCACUACUAGUUGUAAUAGCUUCUGCCCACUUAGUAACAUAAUCAAUAGCAACUAAAAUAUUACCAAUUAGAGGAAGGAAACGGUCCCAUAUAAUCAAAGCCCCAAACAUCAAAUGGUUCAAUAACAAGUGAAUAAUUCAUAGGCAUUUCUUGACGUCUACUAAUAUUACCAAUUCUUUGACAUUCAUCACAAGACAAGACAAACUUAUGGGCAUCCUUGAAGAGAGUAGGCCAAUAAAAAUCGGAUUGCAAUACUUAUGUGCAGUUCUAUCUCCAGCAUGGUGUCCUCCAUAAGCCUCGGAGUGACACUUGCGUAGGAUCUGUUCCUGUUCAUGCUCAGGUACACAACGUCUAAUAACACCAUCUACUCCUUCUUUAUAAAGGUGUGGGUCAUCCCAGAAGUAAUGUCUUAAAUCAUAGAAAAACUUUUUCAUUUGUUGAUAUGUGAAACUAGGUGGUAUAAAUUUAGCAACAAUGUAAUUAGCAUAAUCAGCAUACCAUGGAGCAGUACGAGAAGCAUUUAUGGCAGCUAAUUGUUCAUCAAGAAAGCUAUCAUCAAUAGGUAGUGGGUCAUCAAGAACAUUCUCUAACCUAGACAAGUUGUCUGCAACGAGGUUCUUAGCUCCCUUUCUAUCGGUAAUAUGCAAAUCAAAUUCUUGUAGUAGGACAACCCAUCUAAUAAGUCUAGGUUUAGCAUCUCUCUUUUCCAUAAGGUAUUUAAUAGCAACAUGAUCAGUGUGAACAGUUACUUUAGAAUCAACAAUAUAAGGUCUGAACUUAUCACAAGUAGAUACAACUGCUAAUUUUUUUUUCAGUAGUAGCAUUAUUUCUUUGGGCACUGUCUAGAGUUUUACUAGCAUAUUGGAUAACAUUUAAUUUCUUAUCAGCUCUUUGUCCUAGAACAGCCCCUACAGCAUAAUCACUAGCAUCACACAUAAUUUCAAAGGGUAAAUUCCAAUCAGGUGGCUGAACAAUGGGUGCAAAAAUCAAAGCUUUCUUAAGUAUUUCAAAUGCUUCUAAACAAUCAUCAUCAAAGAAGAAAGGAACAUCUUUUUGUAAGAGAUUGGUCAGAGGCCUGGAAAUUUUUGAGAAGUCUUUGAACCUCCUAUAAAAACCGGCAUGACCAAGGAAACUUCUUAUACCUUUAAUGUCCUUAGGACACGACAUCUUUUUAAUAGCAUCAACUUUAGCUUUAUCAACUUCAAUACCUCUUUUAGAAAUUUUAUGCCCCAAGACAAUGCCUUCAUUAACCAUAAAGUGGCACUUCUCCAAAUUUAAGACAAUAUUAGUUUCUUCACAUCUCUGCAAAACUCGAUCAAGGUUGCUUAAGCAAUCAUCAAAAGAAGUUCCAUAUACGGAAAAAUCAUCCAUGAAAACCUCAACAACAUUUUCACAAAAGUCAGAGAAUAUAGCAGUCAUACAUAUUUGAAAGGUAGCAGGUGCAUUACAUAAACCAAAAGGCAUACAUCUAUAAGCAAAGGUACCGAAAGGGUAAGUAAAAGUGGUCUUUUCUUGAUCCUCUUUUGACACAGGUAUUUGAGAGAAACCAGAAUAACCGUCUAGAAAGCAAAAAUGUGUAUGUUUGGAUAAUCUUUCUAGAAUUUGAUCAAUAAAAGGUAAAGGGUAAUGAUCCUUUUUAGUAGAUUUAUUUAGUUUGCAGAAAUCAAUUACCAUUCUAUAACCUGUAACAAUUCUUUAUGGGAUCAAUUCAUCUUUAUCAUUAGGAACAACAGUAAUACCUCCCUUCUUAGGGACACAAUGGACAGGACUUACCCACUGACUAUCAGCAACGGGAUAAAUUAUACCUGCCUCCAGAAGCUUUAGUAUUUCUUUUCUUACCACUUCUUUCAUCUUAGGAUUUAACAAUCGUUGGUGAUCAACAACCGUUUUAGCGUCUUUCUCAAAUUUUAUUUUGUGCUGGCAUAGAGUUGGACUAAUGCCCUUAAGAUCAUCAAGAGUAUAUCCAAUAGCAGCACGGUGCUUCUCCAGAGUUUUCAAUAAUUUCUCCUCUUUUGGCUCUGAAAGGUUAGCACUAAUAAUAACAGGAUAUAUCUUCUUUUCAUCAAGAUAAGCAUAUUUAAGAGUAGCAGGCAAUGGUUUAAGCUCAAACACGGGAUCACCCUUGGGUGGAGGAGGAUCCCCUAGAAUUUUGACAGGCAAGUUGUGUUUCAAAAUAGGUCCCUGUUUAAAGAAUACUUCAUCUAUUUCCCUUCUUUCAUUCAUAAACAUAUCAUUUUCAUGGUCUAGCAAAUAUUGUUCUAAAGGAUCAUUAGGAGGCACGACAAUAGAAGGAAGACCAAUAGUUUCAUCUUUACUAGGAAAUUCUUUAUCAUGGGGUUGUCUACGAAAUUUAGCAAAAUUAAAAUCAUGAGACAUAUCCCCUAAACCAACAGAAACAAUAUCCUUUUUGCAGUCUAUCUUAGCAUUAACAGUAUUCAAGAAGGGUCUACCAAAUAUAAUGGGACAAAAGUCAUCUUGUGGGGAACCAAGAACAAGAAAAUCAGCAGGAUAUUUAACUUUCCCACACAAGACUUCAACAUCUCUAACAAUCCCAAUCGGUGAAAUAGUAUCUCUAUUGGCAAGCUUAAUUGUAACAUCAAUACCUUCCAACUCAACAGGUGCAAUAUCAUGCAUAAUUUCUUCAUAUAAAGAAUGAGGUAUUGCACUCGCACUAGCACCCAUAUCACAUAAGCCAUGAUAGCAAUGAUCUCCUAUUUUAACAGAAAUAACAAGCAUGCCUACAACAGGUCUAUGUUUAUUCUUAGUAUCGGGUCUAGCAAUUCUAGCAGCUUCAUCACAAAAGUAAAUAACAUGCCCAUCAAUAUUAUCGGCCAAGAGAUCUUUAACCAUAGAAAUACUAGGUUCAACUUUAAUUUGCUCAAAGGGUGUAAUUUUUCUAGUAUUACUCUUAUGAACCACAGUUGAAGCUUUAGCAUGAUCCUUUAUUCUAGUAGGGAAAGGUGCUUUCUCAAUAUAAGCGGUAGGAACAAUAGGAUCAACAUUAUAAGUGAUAGUCUUUUCUUCAAUUUUAAUAGGUUCAACUACUUUUACUUCAAUGGGAGGAUGAUAUUUAAUCCACUUCUCCUUAGGGAGAUCAACAUGAGUAGCAAAUGAUUCACAAAAAGAAGCUACUAUCUCAGAGUCAAGUCCAUAUUUAGUGCUAAAUUCACAAAAAGCAUCGGUAUCCAUAAAAGAUUUAACACAAAAAACUUAGGUGUUGUACCUGAAUCCUUACCUUCGUCGAGCUCCCAAUCUUUAGAGUUGUGUUUAAUUCUUUCCAAUAAAUCCCAUCUGAAUUCAAUAGUCUUCAUCAUAAAAGAACCAGUACAAGAAGUAUCGAGCAUGCAGCGAUUAUUGAGAGAAAGCCGAGCAUAAUUUUUUUGAAUAAUAAUUUAUUUUGAGAGCUCAUGAUUGGGGCAUGAAUAUAACAUUGACUUAAGCCUCCCCCAAGCUUGAGCGAUGCUUUCUCCUUCGCGAGGCCAUAAAUUAUAUAUAUAAUUACGAUCACGAUUAACCAGAUGCAUAGGAUAAAACUUCUGAUGAAAUUCCAAUUUCAAUGGGUUGUAGUUCCAUGAUCCAAUAUCAUCACAUAGCCUAAACCAUGUCAAUGCCUUUCCCUUACCUUCUUCUUGAUAACGUCCUCGGGCAUACCUGCAAGCUUAAAUAAUCAACAAACUUCAUCCACAUAGAUUAAGUGCAAAUCAGGAUGCAAUGUUCCAUCUCCUGUAAAAGGAUUAGCUAGCAGUUUCUCUAUCAUACCCGAAGGAAUUUCAAAUUAAACAUUUUCAGUAGGUUCACUAGGUUGAGGAGCAACUCUUUGCUCUACGGGUCGGGGUGAAGAUACCCCGAACAAGCCCCUCAAAGGAUUAUGUUCCAUAGUAACAAGUGACAGUAAAUUUCAGCACACUAUAUAAAUUUUUCCUUACCAAAUUCCACCUACCAAAGGCGCUUCACUCCCCGGCAACAGCGCCAGAAAAGAUUCUUGAUGACCCACAAGUAUAGGGGAUCUAUCGUAGUCCUUUCGAUAAGUAAGAGUGUCAAACCCAACGAGGAGCAGAAGGAAAUGAUAAGCAGUUUUCAGUAAGGUAUUCUCUGCAAGCACUGAAAUUAUCGGUAACAGAUAGUUUUGUGAUAAGGUAAUUUGUAACGGGUAACAAGUAAUAAAAGUAAAUAAGGUGCAGCAAGAUGGCCCAAUCCUUUUUGUAGCAAAGGACAAGCCUGGACAAACUCUUAUCUAAAUGAAAGCGCUCCCGAGGACACAUGGGAAUUAUCGUCAAGCUAGUUUUUAUCAUGCUCAUAUGAUUCGUGUUCGGUACUUUGAUAAUUUGAUAUGUGGGUGGACCGGUGCUUAGGCACCACCCUUCCUUGGACAAGCAUCCCAUUUAUGAUUAACCCCUCUUGCAAAGCAUCCACAACUACAAAAGAAGUAUUAAGGUAAACCUAACCAUAGCAUGAAACAUAUGGAUCCAAAUCAGCCCCUUACAAAGCAAAGCAUAAACUAGGGUUUAAGCUUCGGUCACUCUAGCAACCCAUCAUCUACUUAUUACUUCCCAAUGCCUUCCUCUAGGCCCAAACAAUGGUGAAGUGUCAUGUAGUCGACGUUCACAUGACACCACUAGAGGAGAGACAACAUACAUCUCAUCAAAAUAUCAAACGAAUACCAAAUUCACAUGACUACUUAUAGCAAGACUUCUCCCAUGUCCCCAGGAACAAACGUAACUACUCACAAAUCAUAUUCAUGUUCAUAAUCAGAGGGGUAUUAAUAUGCAUAAAGGAUCUGAACAUAUGAUCUUUCACCAAAUAAACCAACUAGCAUCAACUACAAGGAGUAAUCAACACUACUAGCAACCCACAUGUACCAAUCUAAGGUUUUGGAACAAAGAUUGGAUACAAGAUAUGAACUAGGGUUUGAUAUGAGAUGGUGCUGGUGAAGAUGUUAAUGGAGAUUGACCCCCUCCCGAUGAGAGGAUCGAUGAUGAUGACGACGGUGAUGAUUUCCCCCUCCCGGAGGGAUGUUUCCCCGGCAGAACAGCUCCGCCGGAGCCCUAGAUUGGUUCCGCCAAGGUUCCGCCUCGUGGCGGCGGAGUUUCGUCCCGAGAGCUUGCUUAUGAUUUUUUCCAGGGAAAAAGACUUCAUAUAGCCAAAGAUGGGCAUCGGAGGCAUGCCAGGGGGCCCACGAGGCCGGGGGUAGGGCGCGCCCCCCACCCUCGUGGAUGGUGGGUGGCCCCCUCUAGUGCUUCCUUCGUCCAAUAUUUUUUAAAUAUUCUGAAACUGACUUCCGUGGAGUUUCAGGACUUUUGGAACUGUGCAGAAUAGGUCUCUAAUAUUUGCUCCUUUUCCAGCCCAUAAUUCCAGCUACCGGCAUUCUCCCUCUUCAUGUAAACCUUUUUAAAUAAGAGAGAAUAUGCAUAAGUAUUUUGACAUAAUGUGUAAUAACAUCGCAUAAUGCAAUAAAUAUUGAUAUAAAAACAUGAUGCAAAAUGGACGUAUCAGGCGAUAAUAGUCAUACUGCUUACCAGCAACGUCUUAUUUUGAUUCGGCGGUAUUGUUGGAUGAAGCAGCCCGGACCGACAUUACAUGACCGCGUUCAUGAGACUGGUUCUACCGACAUGCUUCGCACACAGGUGGCUGGCGGGUGUCUGUUUCUCCAACUUUAGUUGAAUCAAGUUUGACUACACCCGGUCCUUGUUGAAGGUUAAAACAACACACUUGACGAAAAAUCGUUGUGGUUUUGAUGCGUAGGUAAGAACGGUUCUUGCUAGAAGCCUAUAGCAGCCACGUAAAAGUUGCAACAACAAAGUAGAGGACGUCUAACUUGUUUUUGCAGGGCAUGUUGUGAUGUGAUAUGGUCAAGACGUGAUGAGAUAUAAAUUGUUGUAUGAGAUGAUCAUGUUUUGUUAAAGUUAUCGGCAACUGGCAGGAGCCUUAUGGUUGUCUCUUUAUUGCAUAAGAUGCAAGCGCCAUAUAAUUGCUUUACUUUAUUGCUAGGCGAUAGCAAUAGUUGCAAAAGCAAUAGUUGGCGAGACGACCAUAUGACGGCACGUUGAUAGAGAUCAAGAUGACGGAGAUCAUGGUGUCAUGCCGGUAAUGAUGGAAAUCAUAAUGGUACUUUGGAGACGGAGAUCAAAGGCACAAGAUGAUGAUGGCCAUAUCAUGUCACAUAUUUUGAUUGCAUAUGAUGUUUAUCCUUUAUGCAUCUUAUUUUGCUUAGUACGGCGGUAGCAUUAUAAGAUGAUCCCUCACUAAAUUUCAAGGUAUAAGUGUUCUCCCUGAGUAUGCACCAUUGCUAUAGUUCAUCGUGCCGAGACACCACAUGAUGAUUGGGUGUGAUAAGCUCUACGUUCACAUACAACGGGUGCAAGCCAGUUUUGCACACGCGAAAUACUCGGGUUAAACUUGAAGAGCCUAGCAUAUGCAGAUAUGGCCUCGAAACACUGAGACCAAAAGGUUGAACACGAAUCAUAUAGUAGAUAUGAUCAACAUAGAGAUGUUCACCAUUGAAAACUACUCCAUCUCACGUGAUGAUCGGACAUGGUUUAGGUGAUAUGGAUCACGUGAUCAUUUAGAUGACUAGAGGGAUGUCUAUCUAAGUGGGAGUUCUUAAGUAAUAUGAUUAAUUGAACCUAAUUUAUCAUGAACUUAGUCCUGAUAGUUUUUGCAUGUCUAUGUUGUAGAUCAAUAGCUUGCGAUGUAGAUCCCCAUUUAUUUUUGAUAUGUUACUAGAGAAAAAUAAAUUGAAAGAUGAUAGUAGCAAUGAUACGGACUGGGUCCGUGAUCUGAGAAUUAUCCUCAUUGAUGCACAGAAGAAUUAUGUCCUUGAUGCACCGCUAGGUGACGAACCUAUUGCAGGAGAAGAUGCAGACGUUAUGAAUGUUUGACAAGCUCGGUAUGAUGACUACCUGAUAGUUUAGUGCACCAUGCUUUACAGCUUAGAACCGGGACUUCAAAAAUGUUUUGAACGACAUGGAGCAUAUAAGAUGUUCCAGGAGCUGAAAUUGUUAUUUCAGACUCAUGCCCGAGUCGAGAGGUAUGAGACCUCUCACAAGUAUUUUGCCUACAAGAUGGAGGAGAAUAGCUCAACCAGUGAGCAUGUGCUCAGAAUGUCUGAGUACUACAAUCUCUUGAAUCAAGUGGGAGUUAAUCUUCCAAAUAAGAUAGUGAUUGACAGAGUUCUCUAGUCACUGUCACCAAGUUACUGGAACUUCGUGAUGAACUAUAAUAUGCAAGGGAUGACAAAAAUGAUUACCCGAGCUCUUCGCGAUGCUGAAAUCGGCAAAGGUAGAAAUCAAGAAAAGCAUUAAGUGUUUAUGGUUGACAAGACCACUAGUUUCAAGUAAAAGGGCAAGGGAAAGAAAGGGAACUUCAAGAAGAAUGGCAAGCAAGUUGCCAUUCCCAUGAAGAAGCCCAAAGCUAGACCCAAGCAUGAAACUGGGUGCUUCUACUGCAAAGGAAAUGGUCACUGGAAGCGGAACUGCCCCAAAUACUUGGCGGAUAAGAAGGAUGGCAAAGUGAACAAAAGUAUAUAUGAUAUACAUGUUAUUAUUGUGUACUUUACUAGCGUUCAUAGUAGCCCCUGGGUAUUUGAUACUGGUUCAGUUGCUAUGUUAGUAACUUGAAACAGGAGUUACAAAAUGAACAGAGACUAGUUGAGCGCGAGGUGACGAUGUGUGUUGGAAGUGAUUCCAAGGUUGAUAAGAUCACUAUCGCACACUCCCUUUACCUUCGGGAUUAGUGUUGAACCUAAAAUAAAUGUUAUUUGGUGUUUGCAGUGAGCAUAAUAUGAUUGGAUCAUGUUUAUUUCAAUACGCUUAUUCAUUUAAGUCAAAGAAUAUUUUUUAUUCUAUUUACAUGAAUAAAACCUUCUGUGGUCAUACACAUAAGGUGAAUGGUUUAUUGAAUCUCGAUCAUAGUGAUACACAUAUUCAUUGAUGCCAAAAGAUGCAAAGUUCAUAAUGAUAGUGCAACAUACUAGUGGCACUGCCGUUUAGGUCAUAUUGGUGUAAAGCGCAUGAAGAAACUCCAUGCGGAUGGACUUUUGGAAUCACUUGAUUAUGAAUCAUUUGAUGCUUGCGAACCAUGCCUCAUGGGCAAGAUGACUAAGACUCCGUUCUUCGGAACAAUGGAGCGAGCCACUAACUUAUUGGAAAUAAUACAUACCGAUGUAUGUGGUCCGAUGAGUGUUGAGGCUCGCGGCGAGUAUCAUUAUUUUCUGACCUUCACAGAUGAUUUGAGCAGAUAUGGGUAUAUCUACUUAAUGGAACAUAAGUCUGAAACAUUUGAAAAGUUCAAAGAAUUUCAGAGUGAAGUGGAAAAUCAUCGUACCAAGAAAAUAAAGUUUCUAUGGUCUGAUCGCGGAGGCGAAUAUCUUGAGUUACGAGUUUGGUCUUCAUUUAAAAACAAUGUGGAAUAGUUUCACAACUCAUGCCACCUGGAACACCACAGAGUAAUGGUGUGUUGGAAUGUCGUAACCGUACUUUAUUAGAUAUGGUGCGAUCUAUGAUGUCUCUUACCAAUUUACCACUAUCGUUUUGGGGUUAUGCAUUCGAGACAGCUGCAUUCACAUUAAAUAGGGGACCAUCUAAAUCCGUUGAGACGACAUUGUAUGAACUAUGGUUUGGCAAGAAACCUAAGCAGUCGUUUCUUAAAGUUUGGGGCUGUGAUGCUUAUGUGAAAAAGCUUCAAUCUGAUUAGCUCGAACCCAAAUCGGAGAAAUGUGUCUUCAUAGGAUACCCAAAGGAGACUGUUGGGUACACCUUCUAUCACAGAUCUGAAGGCAAGAUAUUUGUUGCUAAGAAUGGAUCCUUUCUAGAGAAGGAGUUUCUCUCGAAAGAAGUGAGUGGGAGGAAAGUAGAACUUGAUGAGGUAAUUGUACCUUCUCCCUUAUUGGAAAGUAGUUCAUCACAGAAAUCAGUUCUAGUGAUUCCUACACCAAUUAGUGAGGAAAUUAAUGAUGAUGAUCAUGAAACUUCAGAUCAAGUUACUACCGAACCUCGUAGGCCGACCAGAGUACAUUACUCACUAGAGUGUUACGGUAAUCCUAUUCUGGAAGUCAUGUUACUAGACCAUGACGAACCUACGAACUAUGAGGAAGUGAUGAUGAGCCCAGAUUCCGCAAAACGGCUUGAGGCCAUGAAAUCUGAGAUGGGAUCCAUGUAUAAGAACAAAGUGUGGACUUUGGUGGACUUCCCGGUGAUCGGCGAGCCAUAGAAAAUAAAUGGAUCUUCAAGAGGGAGAUGGACGCUGAUGGUAGUGUUACUAUCUACAAAGCUCGAAUUGUCGAAAAAGGUUUCGACAAGUUCAAGGUGUUGAAUACGAUGAGAUUUUCUCACUCGUAUCGAUGCUUAAGUCUGUCCGAAUCAUGUUAGCAAUUGCUGCAUUUUAUGAAAUCUGGCAAAUGGAUAUCAAAACUGCAUUCCUUAAUGGAUUUAUUAAAGAAGAGUUGUAUAUGAUACAACCAGAAAGUUUUGUCGAUCCUAAAGGUGCUAACAAAGUGUGCAAGCUCCAGUGAUCCAUCUAUGGACUGGUGCAAGCAUCUCGGAGUUGGAAUAUACACUUUGAUGAGUUGAUCAAAGCAUAUAGUUUUAUACAUACUUGCGGUGAAUUCUGUAUUUACAAGAAAGUGAGUGGGAGCACUACAGCCUUUCUGAUAAGUAUAUGUGAAUACCAUAUUGUUGAUCGGAAAUGAUGUAGAAUUUUCUGGAAAGCAUAAAGGAGUGUUUGAAAGGAGUUCUUCAAAGAAAGACCUUGGUAAAGCUGCUUACAUAUUGGGCAUCAAGAUCUAUAGAGAUAGAUCAAGACGCUUGAUAAGAUUUUUCAAUGAGUACAUACCUUGACAAGAUUUUGAAGUAGUUCAAAUGGAACAGUCAAAGAAGGAGUUCUUGCCUCUAUUGCAAGGUGUAAAAUUGAGUAAGACUCAAAACACGACCACGACAGAAAAUAGAAAGAGAAUGAAAAGUCAUUCCCUAUGCCUCAGUCAUAGGUUCUAUAAAGUAUGCUAUGUUGUGUACCAAACCUAUUGUGUACCUCACCAUGAGUUUGGCAAGAGGGUACAAUAGUGAUCCAGGAGUGGAUCACUGGACAAUGGUCAAAGUUAUCCUUAGUGGAAUAAGGAUAUGUUUCUCGGUUAUGGAGGUGACAAAAAGUUCGUCGUAAAGGGUUACGUCGAUGCAAGCUUUGACACUGAUCCGGAUGACUCUAAGUCUCAAUCUAGAUACAUAUUGAAAGUGGGAGCAAUUAUCUAGAUUAGCUCCGUGCAGAGCAUUGUAGACAUAGAAAUUUGCAAAAUACAUACGGAUCUGAAUGUGGCAGACUCGUUGACUAAACUUCUCUCACAAGCAAAACAUGAUCAUGACUUAGUACUCUUUUGGUGUUAAUCACAUGGCGAUGUGAACUAGAUUAUUGACUCUAGUAAACCCUUUAUGUGUUGGUCACAUGGCGAUGUGAACUAUUGGUGUUAAAUCACAUGGCGAUGUGAACUAGAUUAUUGACUCUAGUGCAAGUGGGAGUCUGAAGGAAAUAUGCCCUAGAGGCAAUAAUAAAUAUGUUGUUUAUAUUUCCUUAUAUCAUGAUAAAUGUUUAUCAUUCAUGCUAGAAUUGUAUUAACCGAAAACUUGAUACAUGUGUGAAUACAUAGACAAAACAAAGUGUCCCUAGUAUGCCUCUACUUGACUAGCUCGUUCAUCAAAGAUGGUUAAGUUUCCUGACCAUGGACAUGCAUUGUCAUUUGAUGAACGGGAUCACAUCAUUAGAGAAUGAUGUGAUGGACAAGACCCAUCCGUUAGCUUAGCAAAAUGAUCAUUAAGUUUUAUUGCUAUUGCUUUCUUCAUGACUUAUACAUGUUCCUAUAACUAUGAGAUUAUGCAACUCCCGAAUACCGGAGGAACACCUUGUGUGCUAUCAAACGUCACAAUGUAACUGGGUGAUUAUAAAGAUGCUCUACAGGUGUCUCCAAUGGUGUUUGUUGAGUUGGCAUAGUUCGAGAUUAGGAUUUUGUCACUCCAUGCAUCGGAGAGGUAUCUAUGGGCCCUCUCGGUAAUGCUCAUCACUACAAGCCUUGCAAGCAAUGUGACUAAUGAGUUAGUUGCGAGAUGAUGCAUUACGGAACGAUUAAAGAGACUUUCCUGUGAUGAGAUUGGACUAGGUAUGAUGAUACCGACGAUCGAAUCUCGGGCAAGUAACAUAUCGAUGACAAAGGGAACAACGUAUGUUGUUAUGUUGUUUAACCGAUAAAGAUCUUCGUAGAAUAUGUAGGAGCCAAUAUGAGCAUCCAGGUUCCGCUAUUGGUUAUUGACUGGAGAUGUGUCUCGGUCAUGUCUACAUAGUUCUCAAACCCAUAGGGUCCGCACGCUUAACGUUCUAUGACGAUUUGUAUUGUAAGUUAUGUGAUUUGAUGAAGCUAAGUUUGUUAGGAGUCCCGGAUGAGAUCACGGACACGACGAGGAGUCUCGAAAUGGUCAUGAGGUAAAGAUUCAUAUAUUGGAAGGUUACAUUCGGAUACCAGAAUGGUUCGGGUCGUUUCAGAUGAGUUUCGGAGUACGGGGGUUGUUGGACCCCCCCCCGGAAGUUCAUGGACCUUCAUGAGCCUUAGUGGAAAGGAGAGAAGGGCCACAAGGGAGGCCGCCCCCCCAUGGCCAGUCCGAAUUGUACUAGGGAGGGGGGCGGAGCCCCCUCUUUCCUUCUCCCCUCUUCCUCCUCCCCUCUCUCUCCCUCUCUUGGAAAGGAAGGGACUCCAACUAGGAUUGGGAAUCCAAGUUGGACUCCCCAUGGCGCGCUCCCCCCUUGGGCCGGCCACCUCUCCCCCCUUUAUAUACGUGGGAGGGGGGCACCCCAAAGGCACACCAAGUCUUCUCUUAGCCGUGUGCGGUGCCCCCCUCCACAGUUACACACCUCGGUCAUAUCGCCGUAGUGCUUAAGCGAAGCCCUGCACCGGUAACGUCAUCAUCACCGUCGCCACGCCAUCGUGCUGAUGGAACUCUCCCUCAUCCUCAACUGGAUAAAGAGAUAGAGGCACGUCAUCGAGCUGAACGUGUGCUGAACGGGAGGUGCCAUACGUUCGGUGCUAGGAUCGGUUGGAUCGCGAAGACGUUCUACUACAUCAACCGCGUUACUAAAGGCUUGCGCUUUUGGUCUACGAGGGUACGUGGACACACUCUCCCCUCUCCUUGAUAUGCAUCUCCUAGAUAGAUGUUGCGUGAUCAUAGGAUUUUUUUUAAAUACUGCAUUCCCCAACAGAAAGGCCAGAAACAGGGAGCGUAGAAACAGAAGGAAACAAAGAGAGAGAGAGAGAGAGAGAGAGAGAGAGAGAGAGAGAGAGAGAGAGAAUCUCGGAGGGGCUCCCGCCCCUCCACUGCCAUGGAAGCCAAGGACCAGAGGGGAAACACUUCUCCCAUAUAGGGGGGAGGUCAAGGAAGAAUAAGAAGAGGGGGGGCUCUCUCCCCCUCUCUCCCGGUGGCGCCGGAACGCCGUCGGGGCCAUCAUCGUGACCGCAAUCUACACCAACAACUACGCUGCCGUCAUCACCAACUCUCCCCCCCUCUAUGCAGCAGUGUAACACCCCUUCUCCCCUCUGUAAUCUCUACUUAAACAUGGUGCUCAACGCUACAUAUUAUUUUCGAAUGAUGUAUGGCUAUCCUAUGAUGUUUGAGUAGAUCCGUUUUGUCCUAUGGGUUGAUUGAUGAUUGUGAUUGGUUUGAGUUGCAUGUUUUAUUAUUGGUGUUGUCAUAUGGUGCUCUCCGUGUCGCGCAAGCAUGAGGGAUCCCCGCUGUAGGGUUUGAAAUAUGUUCAUGAUUUGCUUAUGGUGGGUGGCGUGAGUGAUAGAAGCACAUACCCGAGUAAGUAGGUUGUCUGUGGAUGGGAAUAAAGAGGACUUGAUACUUUAAUGCUAUGGUUGGGUUUUACCUUAAUGAUCUUUAGUAGUUGCGGAUGCUUGCUAGAGUUCCAAUCAUAAGUGCAUAUGAUCCAAGAAGAUAAAGUAUGUUAGCUUAUGCCUCGCCCUCAUAUAAAAUUGCAAUAAUGAUUACCAGUCUAGUUAUCGAUUGCCUAGGGACAAAUAACUUUCUUGUGUGACAAAAAGCUCUGUACUCAAACUAACUUAGUUGUUUCUUUAUCUAAAAAACCACUACUUUUUAUUUACGCGCUCUUUAUUAUCUUGCAAACCUAUCCUACAACACCUAUAAAGUACUUCUAGUUUCAUACUUGUUCUAGGUAAAGCAAACAUUAAGCGUGCGUAGAGUUGUAUCGAUGGUCGAUAGAACUUGAGGGAACAUUUGUUCUACCUUUACCUCCUCGUUGGGUUUGACACUCUUACUUAUCGAAAGAGGCUACAACUGAUUCCCUAUACUUGUGGGUUAUUAGAAGCUAGUCCUAUCAAAGACUACGCUUCUGGCAGCCUCCAUCUUGAAGCAUAUAGAAGAGAGUAGCAAGUACAACAUCAAGUAACAUCGUAUAGCAUAAUCCUAACUGGCGAUCCUCUCCUCGUCACGAUGUGAGAGAGCGAUCACUAGGUUGUAUCUGGAACUUAUCUGGGUGUAUUUUAUUAAGUAUCCGGUUCUAGUUGUCAUGAGGUUGGAAAUAGAACUCCACGUUGUCCUGAUACCGUGGACACAACUAUUCGAAUAGAUCAAUCUUACCUGCAGGGGUGCACCACAUUACGCGACAUGCUCGAUCCCUCUGGUCGGGCACACUUUCCUGGGUCAUAUCCGGCCUCGGGAGAUCAACAUGUCGCAGCCCUACCUAGGCCCAACAAAGAGGUCAGCACACCGGUCUAAAUCCUAAGCACGCAGGGGCCUUGGACCCAUCGCCCGUUGCACUCCUACAUGUUGCAUACACGGGCGGUGAGCAGACCUAGCCCCCUUAAUACAAGUGCAGGCUUCCAGUCCAACCCGGCGCGCGCCACUCAGACGCUGACGUCUGAAGAGCUUCGGCUGGUACUAUAACGUCGGUUGCCCAUAUAUUGUCUCACGUGGCGGUUAGUGCGUAUAAGGCCAAUGACCAACUCAGAUCAAAUACCUAAUCUCGUUAAGCGUGUUAUUAUGGAAUAACUGUGGACGCCAAUUAGGGGCCAGGCCCACCUGUCUCCUAGGUGGUCACAACCUGCCUUGUCGCUCCGCAACAAAGUAAUAACACUAUGGGGCCGUCGGGAGCUACUAUGAUAGUAAGCACCAUGAUUUGGCUUUCAAGAUCGGAGAUCAUGUUUACCUCUGCGUCUCUCCUAUGAAAGGUACUCGUCGCUUCGGUAUCAAAGGGAAGCUUGCCCCUAGAUACGUGGGACCUUUCAAGAUCGUCAGCAAGAGAGGCGAUCUCGCCUAUCAACUCGAGCUUCCUUCAAACUUUGCAAAUGUGCAUGACGUGUUCCAUGUCUCUCAGCUCCGAAAGUGCUUCAAGACUCCUGACCACACCGUCAACUUCAAGGACAUUGAGCUCCAAGAAGAUCUCUCUUAUCGUGAGCACCCCGUUGCUAUUCUUGAAGAGACUGAACGCAAGACUCGCAAUAAGUCAAUCAAAUUCCUCAAAGUCAAGUGGUCACACCAUUCCGACCGUGAAGCUACCUGGGAACGCGAGGAUCACCUCCGUUCUGAAUACCCGGCGUUCUUUCAGUCCUAGAUCUUGGGACGAGAUCCUUUCGUAGUGGUGGAGUGUUGUAACACCCCAGAUAUGAGUUACCCAAUAUGUACUCCAACUCUUGCCGUUUCCGGCGUUAAGUUAUUUUAUUUUCUCGGGUUCGGGUUUUUGUCUCCGUGUGUUGUUAUCGUUGUCAUGCAUCUCAUAUCAUGUCAUCAUGUGCAUUGCAUUUGCAUACGUGUUCAUCUCAUGCAUCCGAGCUUUUUCCCCGUUGUCCGUUUUGCAUUCCGGCACUCCGUUCUCCUCCGGUGGUCAUUUCUACCUUUCUUUCGUGUGUGGGGAUUAAACAUUUCUGGAUUGGACCGAGACUUGCCAAGCGGCCUGGGUUUACUACCGGUAGACUGCCUAUCAAGUUUCGUACCAUUUGGACUUCGUUUGAUGCUCCAACGGUUAACCGAGGGACCGAAAAGGCCUCGUGUGUGUUGCAGCCCAACACCCCUCCAAGUGGGCCCAAAACCCACCAAAACCUUCUCCAUCAUCUAGAGCGUUCGAUCACGAUCGUGUGGCCGAAAACCGCACCUCAUUUGGACUCUCCUAGCUCCCUCUAUGCCUAUAUAAAGACACCCCCGAAAAUCUCCUUCUCCUUCCCCCCCGAAAACCCUAGAUCCAUCUCCACCCGCCGCCGCCGGACAAAGCUGCCACCGACGGACACGUCCAGCUCCGCCCCGCCGCUGCCACGUGGCCCUCUCCCGUUGGCCGCCGCCCGGCGCCCACUUUGCCGCCGCGCGGGCCUGNNNNNNNNNNNNNNNNNNNNNNNNNNNNNNNNNNNNNNNNNNNNNNNNNNNNNNNNNNNNNNNNNNNNNNNNNNNNNNNNNNNNNNNNNNNNNNNNNNNNNNNNNNNNNNNNNNNNNNNNNNNNNNNNNNNNNNNNNNNNNNNNNNNNNNNNNNNNNNNNNNNNNNNNNNNNNNNNNNNNNNNNNNNNNNNNNNNNNNNNNNNNNNNNNNNNNNNNNNNNNNNNNNNNNNNNNNNNNNNNNNNNNNNNNNNNNNNNNNNNNNNNNNNNNNNNNNNNNNNNNNNNNNNNNNNNNNNNNNNNNNNNNNNNNNNNNNNNNNNNNNNNNNNNNNNNNNNNNNNNNNNNNNNNNNNNNNNNNNNNNNNNNNNNNNNNNNNNNNNNNNNNNNNNNNNNNNNNNNNNNNNNNNNNNNNNNNNNNNNNNNNNNNNNNNNNNNNNCGCCCGGCCACCGCUCCGCCCGGCGCCGCCUCCGCCUCCGCCUUCCGCCUCCGCCGCACCCCUCCGGCCGGCGUGCCCCCAUCUCCAAGUCCGACGAGCUCCAAGUCCGACUCCGGCCAUCCUCGUUUUGCGUGCUCUGGCGAGAUCCGAUCCAGAUCUAAAAAACCCUAGGGGUUGACCUUUUUCUUCACUAAGUUUUUAGUUUAUUUAGCUAUUUUCAUCAUGUCGUACCUCCGCAUCCGUAACUCCGUUUUGGGCAUAUAGCAUAUCAAAAUGUUUGUCUCAGAGAGCACAUCAUUUCAUCUCAUUGCAUCAUUUUCAUUUGAGUUCAUUUUGAUGCCCGAAAUGCUGUUGGAAGAAUGCUAUUUGAGAUUAUUGUCAGAUCUGCUGCUCCAAUUAGACAUUUGUCAUUUUUGCCAUGAUUAUUGUGUGCAUGAUAUGCCCCUGAGCUCUUCAUGAGUUUUGUUAUAUGCUUUGCCAUCUUUCCAGAGAUGCAACCCAUGUAUUUUUGUGAUGUGUGUGGUGACUAGCACAAGCUUGCAAAGUGGAGCAUUCGUUAAUGCUGAUUUCAGGGACUUAGCAUUUCCACUAAGUCCUUGAUCUGUUUAUUUCAAUAUGCCAUAUGUUCAUGUUGUUUCCUAGUGAUCCGUGCCUCUUUUGAGGAUGAUCAGCAAGGAUGUUUUGUUAAUCUUGUAGUGCUCUAUCCAUCCAUGUCUUUGUUUGCAAUUAUGGAGCACGCUAGCUUGAGUCAAUCAAGCUCUACUUUUGCUAUUUCGUGAAUCUGGGCAGAUUGUCUACUUGUUAGCGAUUUUGCCGAGGAUGUUGUAGUUGAUCCAUGCAUGCUAUGUUAUUGUUCUUGCCAUGUCUAGCUUGUAUAAUGUGUAUUCUUGAUGGGUGUAUGCUUAGAUUGUCAUGACUUGCUCUGUAGUGAGUGCAUCGAGCUCGUAAACAUGCCUACUUGAUAUCUGUUUUUGCAUGCUCCAGUUUUCACGAAGUCUGUGAUCUGAUUAUGUUUUUGCCAUGUUCACAUGCUUGUAAUUGUAUUUUCUGAUCACUUUUGGCUCAAGGUCACUAAGGGACUUUUGUUAAGCUCUUUGUGUAGCUCCAUGCCAUGCUUUAAUUUGCCAUAUUCCGGUCCUGUAGCAUAUAGUUUUCAUGCUCCAAAGUGUGCUACCUGAUCUGAAAUUCCAGACAAAUGUUAAUUUUAGUAAGUCGGAAAUCUGUUUACCAAAUGCAUUUUUGCCAUGCUUGUUUGAACCUGUUAAUGGAUGAAUUGGCCGUAUCUCAGUGUUCAUAUUUUGUUAAGCAUCAUGAAUGGAUCCCUGCCAUGUAUUUUGAUGCCAUGUUUGGGUGUUGUAGCAUGUUCAUCUUGUUGCAUUUAGAUGGCUACUUGCUGUAAAUCGCAGAACGUGGUCAUAUUUGAAUUGCUUGCCAUUUCCAAACCGUAACUCCGAUUCCGGUGUUCUUUAUAUUGUUUUCAAGCGAUUUCAUCUCACCUUUCCAGUGGCACACUUGGAUUUCCAAGUUGAGGCAAGGUUAAUUAAUUCCUUGUCAAAUCUUGCAUAUGCAUCACAUAUCGCAUCUCGCAUAGCAUACCAUGUUUGCAUCAUGUUGUUUGAGUUUGCACGUGGUUGAUUGUGUUCCGUUUGCUUGUUUUUCUUGUUUGGGUAGAGCUGGGAGACGAGUUUGCUAACGAGGAGCCCGUUGAGUUUGCUUUCGAGAAUCCAGUCAACUCUGACAACUUUGCAGGCAAGAUGAUCAUACCCUCGAAAUCACUACUAUCUUUGCUUUGCUAGAUGCUCGCUCUUUUGAUAUGCCUAUGCUAUGAUGCCUACCACUUGCUUACCAUGCCUCCCAAAUUGCCAUGUCAAACUUCUAACCCACCAUGUCCUAGCAAACCGUUGAUUGGCUAUGUUACCGCUUUGCUCAGCCCCUCUUAUAGCGUUGCUAGUUGCAGGUGAAGAUUGGAGACCGUUCCUUGUUGGAACAUUAUUUACUUGUUGGGAUAUCAUUAUAUUAUAUUGUUAUCUUAAUGCAUCUAUAUAGUUGGUAAAUGGUGGAAGGCUCGGCCUCUCGCCUAGUGUUUUGUUCCACUCUUGUCGCCUUAGUUUCCGUCAUAUCGGUGUUAUUUUCCCAGAUUUUGCGUUCCUUACGCGGUUGGGUUAUAAUGGGAACCCCUUCAUAGUUUGCCUUGAUUAAAGCUUUUCCAGCAAUGCCCAACCUUGGUUUUACCAUUUGCCACCUAGCCUCUUUUUCCCUUGGGUUUCCGGAGCCCGAGGGUCAUCUUAUUUAAACCCCCCCGGGCUAGUGCUCCUCUGAGUGUUGGUCAACCUAGAGCCCCUUGCAGCGCCACCUUGGGGAAACUCGAGGGCUGGUUUUAGUUGUACGGAUUGCUUAUCCGAUUGUGCCCUGAGAACGAGAUAUGUGAAGCUCCUAUCGAGAUUUGUCGGCACAUUCGGGCUGUGUUGCUGGAUUUGUUUUAACUUGUCGAAGUGUCUUGUAGAACCGGGAUACUGAGUCUGAUCGGAACGUCUCGGGAGGAGGUCUAUUCCUUCGUUGACCGUGAGAGCUUGUCAUGGGCUAAGUUGGGACUCCCCUGCAGGGAUUUGAACUUCCGAAAGCCGUGCCCACAGUUAUGGGCAUAUGGGAAUUUGUUAAUGUCCGGUUGUAGAUAACUUGAACCUUAACUUAAUUAAAAUGAAUCAACUGUGUGAGUUACCGUGAUGGUCUCUUCUCGGCGGAGUCCGGGAAGUGAACACGGUGUUGGAGUAAUGCUUGCCGUAGGUUGCCCUCUAGUUACUUGUUCGCGCUUUGCCUCCUCUUCUCGCUCUCUUUUGCGUACAGGAUAGCCACCAUAUAUGCUAGUCGCUUGCUGCAGCUCCACAUAUAUUUACCUUGCCUUACCCAUAAGCUUGAAUAGUCUUGAUUGCGAGGGUGCGAGAUUGCUGAGUCCCUGUGGCUCACAGAUUACUUCCAAACCAGAUGCAGGGCCUGAUGAUUCCGUUCCAGAUGACGCGCUUGAGCUCAAGUGGGAGUUCGACGAGGACUCACGCCGAUACUACGUGUCUUUCCCUGAUGAUCAGUAGUGGUGCCCAGUUGGGGUGAUCGGGACCGUGUCGCAUGUUGGGUUAUCUUUUAUUUUGGCACUGUAGUCGGGCCAUGAGUGUUUGUAUUCUGUAAUGCUAUUUAUGUACUUUGAUUGACGUGGCGAGUGUAAGCCAACUAUGUUUCUCCCCUUUUAUUAUCUAUAUUACAUGGGAUGUUGUGAAGAUUGCCUAACUUGCGACAUUGCUUUCAAUGCGGUUAUGCCUCUAAGUCGUGCCUCGACACGUGGGAGCUAUAGCCGCAUUGAGGGCGUUACAAGUUGGUAAUCAGAGCCUUCCCCGACCUUAGGAGCCCCAUUGCUUGAUCGUUUUUAGCGGCCGAGUUGUGUCUAGAAAAAUGUUUUAAGUCAUUUAGGAAUUAUAUAUCGGAGACUUUAGGAAUUCUUUUUACUCCCCAGUCUCCUCAUCGCUUUAGUAAGGCAUCCUGACGUAGAGUUUUGACUCUUCUCUUCUCAAAUUUCACUAAAAAAAUAUUUAGGAUCACGCGGGUAUCUUGGAAUCGUUUCAAUGGUUUUGUGACGAGAACAUUGUUCUUGGUGCCUCCUGUCUUUAGGGGUUGUGGUAGUGUCCCGGGGAGUUGAGCUCCGAGGUGUUGUCAUCACAAUUUUAUCGUUGUAGUUCUGGAAUACCUGAGUUUAGUACGCCGACAUCGAAAAUCUCUUUUAUGCAGUUCGUUGGUGAGAUAACCUCGAUGCCACCCAGUACUGGGGCGGGAGUUCGGGAGUAUCGCCAUAACUUGUAUAACGGAUGCUUUUCAAAGGUUGAGGUAGAUGGUUUCCGAAGUUUUUCUCGGUUAUGUGUUGAAGGAUGGAUACAGCUGGAUGUAGGAUUUGCUAGAUUUGGGUGAGAUAUUAUGCUUCCCCUAUAUCCCCAACACCUGAUUGCAUAACCGGAAAGGUUCGGGAGUUUCAUAGGUGGGAAUUCUUGUAGCUCUAGUUCUUCUUCCACGGAUAUUUGGUUUGAGAUUGGGAUUUCUUACCGAGUAUUCGUUCUUGAUCCGUACCUUGUUGAUUUAUUUCUCUACCUAAAUUCUAAGUGGCUUCUCAAUUUAUGGAUAUGUGACCAUUUCAAGUGGAAUGCAUUCGUUCAUUUUGUUCGGAUGUGAAGACUAUAUGUUGCAAUUUCAUCCCGUUUGAUUCAGCUUCAUUUUAUCUGUCAAUGUGCUAACGGUUGUCACCCUCUUCAGGAUGGCUCCCGCUAAGAGCACCAACCAGAAUCAGAAUCAAGAUCCGCCACCACCUCCACCUCCUCCAGAGGCAUGGCAAGCUGUGAUGGCCGCAACCAAUGCAAACACAUAGUUGAUCAUGCAAAUUCUUCAAGAGCGCAAUCAAGUGAACCAAGGGAACCAAGGCAACAAUCAGAAUCGCUUUGCUACACUCAACCAGUUCCUUACUAGAGGGCCAAAGACUUUCAGCAAUUGUGUUGAGGCAAAUGAUGCUGACGAUUGGCUCGUGGAUCUGUGCAAGCAUUUCGAGUGCAGUAACGUCAGGUCUGAGGACGUUGUCAAGUUCGCUUCCUUCCAACUCAAAGACCAAGCUGCAGAAUGGUUCCAGCAGUACAAGGAUUCCAGAGGAGGCCAUGUGAUUACCUGGGAUGAAUUCCGUCAAGACUUCAAAGCUCAUCAUAUUCCUCAGAGCGUGGUUGAAAGCAAGCGUGAGGAAUUCCGCAACCUGAAGCAAGGCUCUUUGUCUGUCUAUGACUACAACAAGUUAUUUCAGAAGCUCGCCCGCUUUGCUAAGCAGGACGUCCCUGACGAGAAGAGCAUGAUAUACCAGUUCAGGGGUGGUCUCAGAGAAGAAAUCCAGCUAGCUCUUGUUCUCUUUGAGCCCUUGAGGUACGAUGAGUUCUACAACAUGGCAUUGAAGCAAGAGGCUGCUCAACUGAGGUGUGAUGCUUCCAAGAAGCGAGUCAGAGAUGCUACUCCUUCUUCCUCUACUCAAGUGGCCAAGCAAUAGAAGUAUUGGCUUCCUCCUCCUCUGUUCCGUCAGCUGUAUCAACAGAAGAGCAAAGGUGGCAGUGGAUCUUCCCACCCACCCAACCCUGGCUUUCAGAACAAGACUUCGUCUCAAGCUCCUAGAUCGAGUGCUCCGUAUCACCGUCCGCUUUCAGAGGUCACGUGCAACAAGUGCCAACAGAAGGGUCACUAUGCCAACAAAUGCUUCAAUCAGAGGCGUCUCCCUCCUCCUCCUCCUGUGAGAUCGGCAAGUACAGUUGUGGUCAAGCAUAACCCCAAGNNNNNNNNNNNNNNNNNNNNNNNNNNNNNNNNNNNNNNNNNNNNNNNNNNNNNNNNNNNNNNNNNNNNNNNNNNNNNNNNNNNNNNNNNNNNNNNNNNNNNNNNUAGAAGAGCAAAGGUGGCAGUGGAUCUUCCCACCCACCCAACCCUGGCUUUCAGAACAAGACUUCGUCUCAAGCUCCAAGAUCGAGUGCUCCGUAUCACCGUCCGCUUUCAGAGGUCACGUGCAACAAGUGCCAACAGAAGGGUCACUAUGCCAACAAAUGCUUCAAUCAGAGGCGUCUCCCUCCUCCUCCUCCUGUGAGAUCGGCAAGUACAGUUGUGGUCAAGCAUAACCCCAAGCACGCCAAGGUCAACAUGCUGAAUGCAGCUCAGGCAGAGGACUCGUCAGAUGUCAUCAUGGGUAACCUUCCUGUUAACGAUAUUCCUGCAAGAGUUCUUUUUGACACUGGUGCAUCGCAUUGCUUCAUCUCGAGUCCUUUUGCAUCUAAGCAUGAUUUUGUUACUCAAGUGUUGUUGAAACCGUUGGCUAUUGUCUCUCCGGCCCGUCAAAUGACAUCUCGAGUAUGCGUUCUGGAUGUUACAAUCACUUUGGGUGACUAUAAGUUCUUGUCCUCUCCAAAUGUUCUUGGUGACUCGGAUAUUGACCUUAUUCUUGGAAUGGAUUGGCUUUCUAAGCACAAGGCUCAGCUUGAUUGUGCAGCCAGGCAGAUUCAAUUGACUCAUUCGUUUGAGGAUGUAAUUGUCUUUGCCGCUCGUGAUGAUACCAUCCGUCUGUUUUCUCUCAAUGAGAAGGGUGAACUGGAUGCUAUCUCGCAAAUUCCAGUCAUUUGCGAAUAUCAAGACGUCUUUCCAGAAGAGCUUCCAGGAAUGCCUCCGCACCGGCCAGUUGAAUUCGUCAUCGAUCUUGAGCUUGGCACGGAACCAGUGUGCAAGCGUCCUUACAAGCUCGGACCUGAAGAGUUGAAAGAGCUGAAGAAGCAACUCGAUAUUCAAGAGAGAAUGGGUCUCAUCCGACCUAGUUCUUCUCCGUGGGGUUGUGGUGUUCUUUUUGUGAAGAAGAAGGAUGGAACGGACCGAGUUUGUGUUGAUUACCGUCCAUUGAACAAGAAGACUAUCAAGAACAAAUACCCACUUCCCAACAUCAACGAGCUGUUCGAACAACUCAAAGGCACCCAAGUAUUCUCCAAGCUUGAUCUCCGUAUGGGUUAUCACCAGAUUCAAAUCCGUGAGCAAGAUAUUCCCAAGACGGCUUUCAGGACAAGCUUUGGUUCAUAUGAAUACAUUGUCAUGUCUUUUGGUCUUGUCAAUGCUCCUCCGACUUUCUCUCGCAUGAUGAACUUCAUCUUCAACGCCUACACCAAUGACUUUGUUUUGGUCUAUCUCGACGACAUUCUGGUCUUUUCGAAGAACAAGGAAGAUCAUGCCAAGCACUUGCGUUUGGUGCUCGAUAAGCUCAGGGAACACCAGUUCUACGCCAAGUUCUCCAAGUGCGAAUUUUGGCUAGAUGAGGUUCUUUAUCUUGGGCAUAUCAUCUCUGCCAAGGGCAUUGCAGUGAAUCCUAAGAAUGUGUCUGCAAUUGUGAAUUGGGAACCACCUCAGAACGUGAAGCAACUCCGUAGCUUCCUCGGUCUCGCAAGCUAUUGCCGAAGAUUCAUUGAAAACUUUUCUAAGAUCGCGAAGCCUCUCUCAAAUCUUCUCCAGAAGCACGUCAAGUACGUUUGGUCUCCGGAGUGUGACAUUGCUUUCAACACUUUGAAAGAGAAAUUGGUCACUGCUCCAGUUCUGACUCCUCCUGAUGAAUCCAAGCCGUAUGAGGUUUUUUGCGAUGCCUCUCUCCAAGGUCUUGGCGCAGUGUUGAUGCAAGAGAAGAAAGUUGUGCCCAACGAGAAGAACUACCCCACUCAUGACCUCGAGUUGGCGGCAGUUGUGCAUGCUCUUUUGACUUGGAGACAUCUCUUAUUGGGAAGAAAAGUGGACAUCUUCACUGACCACAAGAGUCUCAAGUACAUCUUCACUCAGCCUAAUCUCAACCUCAGGCAGACUCGAUGGGUUGAAAUGAUUCAAGCGUAUAAUCCGAGUAUCUAGUAUACUCCAGGAAAGGCCAAUGUGAUUGCUGACGCAUUGAGCAGGAAGGCUUAUUGCAAUAGUCUGAUUCUCAAGCCUUAUCAACCCGAGCUUUGUGAAGCUUUCCGCAAACUUAAUCUGCAAGUUGUUCCUCAAGGUUUCCUCGCCAACCUUCAAGUCUCUCCUACCUUGGAAGACCAGAUUCGCCAAGCCCAACUUCUUGAUGCUAUGGUGAAAAAGGUGAAGAUUGGGAUUGCCAAGAGUCAACACAAGUACAAGUGCUACUGCCUUGAUGACAAGGAUACUCUCUUCUUCAAGGAUCAUAUUGUUGUGCCCAAAGGUGACCUUUGUAAAGUGAUCAUGAACGAGGAUCACAAUUCUCUCCUCUCCAUCCACCCUGGGAGCUCGAAGAUGUAUCAGGACCUCAAGCAGGCUUAUUGGUGGACUCGAAUGAAGCGCGAGAUUGCUCAAUUCAUGAAUGAAUGUGAUGUCUGCAGAAGAGUGAAGGCAGAACACCAAAGGCCAGCUGGUCUCCUCCAACCUCUUGCCAUUCUAGAAUGGAAGUUUGACCACAUUGAGAUGGACUUCGUGACUGGGUUUCCAAAGUCCAAGCGUGGCAAUGAUGCUAUAUUCGUUGUCAUCGACAAACUCACCAAAGUGGCUCACUUUCUGCCUAUCAAAGAGUCUAUCACUGCAGCUCAAUUGGCGGAGCUCUAUACCUCUUAAAUUGUCUCUCUGCACGGUAUUCCUCAAGUGAUCUCUUCAGACCGUGGCAACAUCUUUACCUCCAAGUUUUGGGAUUCUUUUCAGAAGGCCAUGGGCACCAACAUCCGCUUCAGCACAGCUUUCCAUCCUCAAACUAGCGGUCAAGUCGAGCGUGUCAACCAGAUUCUUGAAGAUAUGCUCAGGGCUUGUGUGAUCUCCUUCGGCAUGAAGUGGGAGGAUUGUCUUCCUUAUGCUGAAUUCUCCUACAACAACAGUUUUCAAGCAAGUUCGGGCAAGGCCCCAUUCGAAAUUCUAUAUGGCAGGAAGUGUCGUACCCCUCUCAAUUGGUCUGAAACCGGUGAACGUCAACUUCUGGGUAAGGACUUAAUCACAGAGUCAGAGGAAAUGUGCAAAGUCAUUCGAGAUAACCUCAAAGCAGCCCAAUCCCUCCAGAAGAGCUACUAUGAUAGUAAGCACCGUGAUUUCGCUUUCGAUAUCGGAGAUCAUGUUUACCUCUGCGUCUCUCCUAUGAAAGGUACUCGUCGCUUCGGUAUCAAAGGGAAGCUUGCCCCUAGAUACGUGGGACCUUUCAAGAUCGUCAGCAAGAGAGGCGAUCUCGCCUAUCAACUCGAGCUUCCUUCAAACUUUGCAAAUGUGCAUGACGUGUUCCAUGUCUCUCAGCUCCGAAAGUGCUUCAAGACUCCUGACCGCACCAUCAACUUCAAGGACAUUGAGCUCCAAGAAGAUCUCUCUUAUCGUGAGCACCCCGUUGCUAUUCUUGAAGAGACUGAACGCAAGAUUCGCAACAAGUCAAUCAAAUUCCUCAAAGUCAAGUGGUCACACCAUUCCGACCGUCAAGCUACCUGGGAACGUGAGGAUCACCUCCGUUCUGAAUACCCGACGUUCUUUCAGUCCUAGAUCUCGGGACGAGAUCCUUUCGUAGUGGUGGAGUGUUGUAACACCCCAGAUAUGAGUUACCCAAUAUGUACUCCAACUCUUGCCGUUUCUGGCGUUAAGUUAUUUUAUUUUCCCGGGUUCGGGUUUUUGUCUCCGUGUGUUGUUAUCGUUGUCAUGAAUCUCAUAUCAUGUCAUCAUGUGCAUUACAUUUGCAUACGUGUUCAUCGCAUGCAUCCAAGCUUUUUCCCCGUUGUCCGUUUUGCAUUCCGGCACUCCGUUCUCCUCCGGUGGUCAUUUCUACCUUUCUUUCGUGUGUGGGGAUUAAACAUUUCCGGAUUGGACCGAGACUUGCCAAGCGGCCUGGGUUUACUACUGGUAGACUGCCUGUCAAGUUUCGUACCAUUUGGACUUCGUUUGAUGCUCCAACGGUUAACCGAGGGACCGAAAAGGCCUUGUGUGUGUUGCAGCCCAACACCCCUCCAAGUGGGCCCAAGACCCACCAAAACCUUCUCCAUCAUCUAGAGCGUUCGAUCACGAUCGCGUGGCCGAAAACCGCACCUCAUUUGGACUCUCCUAGCUCCCUCUAUCCCUAUAUAAAGACACCCCUGAAAAUCUCCUUCUCCUUCCCCCCGAAAACCCUAGAUCCAUCUCCACCCGCCGCCGCCGGACAAAGCCACCAUCGACGGACACGUCCGGCUCCGCCCCGCCGCUGCCACGUGGCCCUCUCCCGUUGGCCGCCGCCCGGCGCCCACUUCGCCGCCGCGCGGGCCCGUCGGGGCUCGGGGAGAGCCCUCCCGNNNNNNNNNNNNNNNNNNNNNNNNNNNNNNNNNNNNNNNNNNNNNNNNNNNNNNNNNNNNNNNNNNNNNNNNNNNNNNNNNNNNNNNNNNNNNNNNNNNNNNNNNNNNNNNNNNNNNNNNNNNNNNNNNNNNNNNNNNNNNNNNNNNNNNNNNNNNNNNNNNNNNNNNNNNNNNNNNNNNNNNNNNNNNNNNNNNNNNNNNNNNNNNNNNNNNNNNNNNNNNNNNNNNNNNNNNNNNNNNNNNNNNNNNNNNNNNNNNNNNNNNNNNNNNNNNNNNNNNNNNNNNNNNNNNNNNNNNNNNNNNNNNNNNNNNNNNNNNNNNNNNNNNNNNNNNNNNNNNNNNNNNNNNNNNNNCGUCUCGCCCGGCCAUCGCUCCGCCCGGCGCCGCCUCCGCCUCCGCCUUCCGCCUCCGCCGCACCCCUCCGGCCGGCGUGCCCCCAUCUCCAAGUCCGGUGAGCUCCAAGUUCGACUCCGGCCAUCCUCGUUUUGCGUGCUCCGGCGAGAUCCGAUCCAGAUCUGAAAAACCCUAGGGGUUGACCUUUUUCUUCACUAAGUUUUCAGUUUAUUUUGCUAUUUUCAUCAUGUCGUAACUCUGCAUCCGUAGCUCUGUUUUGGGCAUAUAGCAUAUCAAAAUGUUUGUCUCAGAGACCACAUCAUUUCAUCUCACUGCAUUAUUUUCAUUUGAGUUCAUCUUGAUGCCCGAAAUGCUGUUGGAAGAAUGCUAUUUGAGAUUAUUGUCAGAUCUGCUGCUCCAAUUAGACAUUUGUCAUUUUUGCCAUGAUUAUUGUGUGCAUGAUAUGCCCCUGAGCUCUUCAUGAGUUUUGUUAUAUGCUUUGCCAUCUUUCCAGAGAUGCAACCCAUGUAUUUUUGUGAUGUGUGUGGUGACUAGCACAAGCUUGCAAAGUGGAGCAUUCGUUAAUGCUGAUUUCAAGGAAUUAGCAUUUCCACGAAGUCCUUGAUCUGUUUAUUUCAAUAUGCCAUAUGUUCAUAUUGUUUCCUACUGAUCCGUGCCUCUUUUGAGGAUGAUCAGAAAGGAUGUUUUGUUAAUCUUGUAGUGCUCUAUCCAUCCAUGUGUUUGUUUGCAAUUAUGGAGCACCCUAGCUUGAGUCAAUCAAGCUCUACUUUUGCUAUUUCGUGAAUCUGGGCAGAUUAUCUACUUGUUAGCGAUUUUUGCGAGGAUGUUGUAGUUGAUCCGUGCAUGCUAUGUUAUUGUUCUUGCCAUGUCUAGCUUGUAUAAUGUGUAUUCUUAAUGGGUGUAUGCUUAUAUUGUCAUGACUUGCUCUGUAGUGAGUGCAUCGAGCUCGUAAACAUGCCUACUUGAUAUCUGUUUUUGCAUGCUCCAGUUUUCACUAAGUCUGUGAUCUGAUUAUGUUUUUGCCAUGUUCACAUGCUUGUAAUUGUAUUUUCUGAUCCCUUUUGGCUCAAGGUCACUAAGGGACUUUUGUUAACCUCUUUGUGUAGCUCCAUGCCAUGCUUUACUUUGUCAUGUUCAGGUCCUGUAACAUAUAGUUUUCAUGCUCCAAAGUGUGCUACCUGAUCUGAAAUUCCAGACAAGUGUUAAUUUCAGUAAGUCUGAAAUCUGUUUACCAAAUGCAUUUUUGCCAUGCUUGUUUGAACCUGUUAAUGGAUGAAUUGGCCGUAGCUCAGUGUUCAUCUUUUGUUAAGCAUCAUGAAUGGAUCCCUGCCAUGUAUUUUGAUGCCAUAUUUGGGUGUUGUAGCAUGUUCAUCUUGUUGCAUUUAGAUGGCUACUUGUUGUAAAUCGCAGAACGUGGUCAUAUUUGAAUUGCUUGCCAUUUCCAAACUGUAACUCCGAUUCCGGCGUUCUUUAUAUCAUUUUCAAGCGAUUUCAUAUCACCUUUCCAGUGGUACACUUGGAUUUCCAAGUUGAGGCCAGGUUCAUUCAUUCCUUGUCAAAUCUUGCAUAUGCAUCACAUAUCGCAUCCCGCAUAGCAUACCAUGUUUGCAUCAUGUUAUUUGAGUUUGCAUGUGGUUGAUUGUGUUCCGUUUGCUUGUUUUGCUUGUUUGGGUAGAGCCGGGAGACGAGUUCGCUAACGAGGAGCCCGUUGAGUUUGCUUUCGAGGAUCCAGUCAACUCUGACAACUUUGCAGGCAAGAUGAUCAUACCCUCGAAAUCACUACUAUCUUUGCUUUGCUAGAUGCUUGCUCUUUUGCUAUGCCUAUGAUACGAUGCCUACCACUUGCUUAUCAUGCCUUCCAAAUUGCCAUGUCAAACCUCUAACCCACCAUGUCCUAGCAAACCGUUGAUUGGCUAUGUUACCGCUUUGCUCAGCCCCUCUUAUAGCGUUGCUAGUUGCAGGUGAAGAUUGGAGACCCUUCCUUGUUGGAACAUUAUUUACUUGUUGGGAUAUCAUUAUAUUAUCUUGUUAUCUUAAUGCAUCUAUAUACUUGGUAAAGGGUGGAAGGCUCGGCCUCUCGCCUAGUGUUUUGUUCCACUCUUGCCGCCUUAGUUUCCGUCAUAUCGGUGUUAUUUCCCGGAUUUUGCGUUCCUUACGCGGUUGGGUUAUAAUGGGAACCCCUUGAUAGUUUGCCUUGAUUAAAGCUUUUCCAGCAAUGCCCAACCUUGGUUUUACCAUUUGCCACCUAGCCUCUUUUUCCCUUGGGUUUCCGGAGCCCGAGGGUCAUCUUAUUUAAACCCCCCCAGGCCAGUGCUCCUCUGAGUGUUGGUCCAACCUAGAGCCCCUUGCAGCGCCACCUCGGGGAAACUCGAGGGCUGGUUUUAGUUGUAUGGAUUGCUUAUCCGAUUGUGCCCUGAGAACGAGAUAUGUGCAGCUCCUAUCGGGAUUUGUCGGCACAUUCGGGUGGUGUUGCUGGAUUUGUUUUAACUUGUCGAAGUGUCUUGUAGAACCGGGAUACCGAGUCUGAUCGGAACGUCUCGGGAGGAGGUCUAUUCCUUCGUUGACCGUGAGAGCUUGUCAUGGGCUAAGUUGGGACUCCCCUGCAGGGAUUUGAACUUUCGAAAGCCGUGCCCGCGGUUAUGCGCAUAUGGGAAUUUGUUAAUGUCCGGUUGUAGAUAACUUGAACCUUAACUUAAUUAAAAUGAAUCAACUGUGUGAGUUACCGUGAUGGUCUCUUCUUGGCGGAGUCUGGGAACUGAACACGGUGUUGGAGUAAUGCUUGCCGCAGGUUGCCCUCUAGUUACUCGUUCGCGCUUUGCCUCCUCUUCUCGCUCUCUUUUGCGUACAGGAUAGCCACCAUAUAUGCUAGUCGCUUGCUGCAGCUCCACAUAUAUUUACCUUGCCUUACCCAUAAGCUUGAAUAGUCUUGAUCGCGAGGGUGCGAGAUUGCUGAGUCCCUGUGGCUCACAGAUUACUUCCAAACCAGAUGCAGGGCCUGAUGAUUCCGUUCCAGAUGACGCGCUUGAGCUCAAGUGGGAGUUCGAGGAGGACUCACACCGAUACUACGUGUCUUUCCCUGAUGAUCAGUAGUGGUGCCCACUUGGGGUGAUCGGGACCAUGUCGCAUGUUGGGUUAUCUUUUAUAUUGGCGCUGUAGUCGGGCCAUGAGUGUUUGUAUGCUGUAAUGCUAUUUAUGUACUUUGAUUGACGUGGCGAGUGUAAGCCAACUAUGUUUCUCCCCUUUUAUUAUCUAUAUUACAUGGGAUGUUGUGAAGAUUGCCUAACUUGCGACAUUGCUUUCAAUGCGGUUAUGCCUCUAAGUCGUGCCUCGACACGUGGGAGCUAUAGCCGCAUCGAGGGCGUUACAUAUAUACAUGUGAUCACCUCCUGAAGUGAUCACGUCCCAGUAGUAUAGCAUGGCAGACGGACAAGUAUGUAGGGCCACUGAUGGUAAUCUAGCAACCUAUACUAAGCAUCUAGGAUUGCAAGUAAGGUAACAACAAUAGUAACAAGGACAGGCUAUGCAGCAAUAUAGGAUCAAACCGAUGAAAUAGUAACACUACUCUAAUGCAAGCAGUAUAUAGAGAGAAGAAGUAGGCAAUAUCGGGAUGAUCAAGGGGAUUUUGCUUGCCUGGAAGCUCUGUCGAGAAGGAGGGGUCGUCAGGACCGUAGCCGACGUCUGGAGCAGCGGCGUCGGUCUCGAAGUCUACCAAAGAGAAGAGGGGGAAGAAACAAUGAAUACAAUGCAAACAGAUGCAUGGCAUGACAAAAGGCGGUGCUAGGUGUGAUCUAAUGCAGUACUAGGUGAUGCUGGUGAAGGGGGAAGACAUCCGGGAAAGUAUUCCCGGUGACAGGCAUUUUCGGACAGAUGAAACGGAGGGGGCGGUUCCACGUUCGCUGUGCUAGGGGUGUGUGACAGACGAACGAAGCGCGUAUUCGAAAUCGCCACGUUUUUCUGAGCAACUUUCAUGUAUAAAGUAUUUUCAUCCAAGUUACAGAUUAUUUUAUAUUAAUUUUCAAAGUUUUAAAUCAUUAUUUUGAAUUUUUUGGAAUUAAUAUUAUUUCAAAAUAAAAGAAUAAAAUGCUAUGGGUACACAGAGAGUGUACCCAACAAAGUGCACAGAGGCUGACAUGUGGGCCCAGUCAGCAAUUGACUGGGUCAACAUCAACUGGUCAAGGGUCCAGUCAGCAGAGGAUGACUAGUGGACCCUAGUGCUGAGUCAGCAGAGCACAGUCAACAGAUCUUGUCCAAAGGCAUAGUAACAGGGGUCCCACUUAUCAGUUUAGUUAAUUUAAGUUAACUGUUUUUUCUCUUUUUUAAAAAGUGGGGGAUUUGGGCUAAGCUAACUAGCCUAUCCUAAUUAAUCAAGGGAUGGGGCCCAAGUGGCAAUGGCCCAGCCGGGCGCUGGUGUGCACGCACGCAUGGUCGUCGAUGGCUGAACCAGCAGCGCCAACAACAGGGGAGGCGAGUGUGGGGUGCGGCGGCUAGCCCGGGCGCAGGCCGACGGCCAGGAGGAGAGGCAGGCGAGGCGAGCGGCCGGGCGGAGCGAAGCGGACGGCUGAAGGCGGCGACGGGCGCUGGGAGCGGAGCUCCAGCGGGCGCUGGGGAAAGCGUCGGCUCGCGGCGGGGAGGGGCAGCGAGGAAGGGUGUGGGCUGGGUGGUAGGAAGAGGAGCAGCAGGGCAGGCGGACGGGUGCGACAACAGCAGGGGAAGCAGCACAAAGAGCAGCUGCAGAAGUCGACAUCAGCAGCGGGAGCAACAAGCGGGGAUGGGCGCGGACCGCGGUGAGGCCGGCCGGUAGCGGUAGGCACGACUGCAGGCGAGCAGCCGGCGGCGCGCGAGGCAAGAAAGGGCGAGCAGCGGCGGCCUCAAUCGGAGCAGCCAGCAGCGGCAAGGGAUGGCGUCGGCGCGGCAGUAGGCAGCGGCAGCAGGGGUGAGCAAAGACGGGCGCGAGGGCCGCUGCAAGGCGUGGGCGGGCAUAUCCAUUCGCGGCCAGAAGUCCACGGUGGGCGCGGCAUGUGAAGGAAAUAUGCCCUAGAGGCAAUAAUAAAGUUGUUAUUUUAUAUUUUCUUAUUCAUGAUAAAUGUUUAUUAUUUAUGCUAGAAUUGUAUUGAUCAGAAACCCAAAUACAUGUGUGAAUACAUAGACAAACACUGUGUCCCUAGUGAGCCUCUACUUGACUAGCUCGUUGAUCAAAGAUGGUUAAGGUUUCCUAACCAUGGACAUGAGUUGUCAUUUGAUAACGGGAUCACAUCAUUAGAAGAAUGAUGUGAUGGACAAGACCCAUCUGUUAUCUUAUCAUAAUGAUCGUUCAGUUUUAUUGCUAUUGCUUUCUUCAUGUCAAAUACAUAUUCCUUCGACUAUGAGAUUAUGCAACUCCCGGACACCAGAGGAAUACCUUGUGUGCUAUAAAACGUCACAACGUAACUGGGUGAUUAUAAAGAUGCUCUAGAGGUAUCUCCGAAUGUGUUUGUUGGGUUGGCAUAGAUCGAGAUUAGGAUUUGUCACUCCGAGUAUCGGAGAGGUAUCUCUGUGCCUCUCGGUAAUACACAUCAUAAGAAGCCUUGCAAGCAAAGUGACUAAUGACUUAGUUGUAGGAUGAUGUAUUAUGGAACCAGUAAAGAGACUUGCCGGUAACAAGAUUGAACUAGGUAUGAAGAUACCGACGAUUGAAUCUCGGGCUAGUAACAUACCGAUGGACAAAGGGAAUUGUGUAUGUUGUCAUUACGGUUCGACCGAUAAAUAUCUUCGUAGAAUAUGUAGGAGCCAAUAUGAGCAUCCAAGUUCCGCUAUUGGUUAUUGACCGGAGAGGUGUCUCGGUUAUGUCUAUAUAGUUCUCGAACCCGUAGGGUCCGCACACUUAACGUUCCAUGACGAUAUAGUAUUGUAUGAGUUAUGUGAUUUGGUGACCGAAUGUUGUUUGGACUCCCGGAUGAGAUCACGGACAUGACGAGGAGUCUCGAAAUGGUCGAUAGGUAAAGAUUGAUAUAUAGGAUGAUGGUAUUCGGACACCGAAAGUGUUCCGGAGGGUAUCAGGUACAUAUAGGGUCACUGGAAGGGGUUCCGGGCACCCCCGGCAAAGAUAUGGGCUUAAUGGGCCAAGGGAGGGACAGACCAGCCCAGAAGGGGUUGAUGCUCCCCUCCACCAAGCCAGACAGCCCUAGGGAAAGGAAAGGGGGGAAGGCAAGUCCCUCCUUCCUUCCCCUCCUCAAGGGAGAAAAGGAAAGGGGGGCACCACCUCCCCCUUCCUUCCCCUGGCGCCUAUAUAAGGAAAGGGGGGCGAACCAGGGCAGGAGCCCAAGUGGGAUCCGGCCUCACUUGGGGCGCCCCUUGGCCUCUCCCCUCUCCCACCUAUAUAUAUGAGGAGGGGGCGCCUAGAACAUUCAACAUCAAUUGUUAGCCGUGUGCGCCGUCCCCCUCCACAGUUUACACCUCUGGUCAUAGUUUUGCGGUGCUUAGACGAAGCCCUGCGAGAAUCACUUCACCAUCACCGUCACCAUGCCGUUGUGCUGGCGGAACUCAUCUACUACCUCGACACCUUGCUGGAUCAAGAAGGCGAGGGGCAUCACCGAGCUGAACGUGUGCAGAACUCGGAGGUGUCGUACGUUCGGUGCUUGAUCGGUCGGAGCUAGAGGAAGUUCGACUACAUCAACCGCGUUGUCAAACGCUUCUUCUUUCGGUCUACGAGGGUACGUAGACACACUCUCCCCUUGUUGCUAUGCAUCUCCUAGAUCGAUCUUGCGUGAGCGUAGGAAUUUUUUUAAAAUUGCAUGCUAUGUUUCCCAACAGCAAGACGUGUGGGACGUGGGCGUGGGGCACGGCCAUGGCGGCCUUGCCGGAUCUGGGUGGCUAUGGUGACGGAAUCAGGAGAAGGAAAGGGGGAAGGGGCGGCAGCUUACACCGGGUGCAACGAGAAGGGCUCAACAGAGAAGGGGACGCCUCGGUGGUGGAGGAUCGAGCGCCGAUGCACGACGACCGCAGGGGAGGAAGAAGAUGCACGCAAUGUGGGGACGGCUCCAUGGCUUUGCUCCGUCAUUUGUUUGUUUUUUUCUCCACCGUGCGAAUUAUAAAAUGUUUGCCACAUGUCAUAAAAAUAAUCAUGUAUUUUCAAAAUUUUCGUCGGGUCUUAGAUUUUUCUUUCUAUCUUAUCUAGAAAAUGUAUUUUCUCAAAUUCAUGAACAUUUUUUAAAUGGGAAAACCUUGUUUUUGCCACUAUAGUUUUUGCCCACUUUGCUUAUGCCAUUCUAGAAUUUGACAUGUCACUUUUGCCACCCUUAGCUUUUGACAAUUAUCACAAUUUCCAUCCAUGGCAAAAAUAAAAUUUUCAGAGUGGCAAUUGUGAUACAUUUCAAAAUCUAAGAGUGGCAAAAGUGAUAUAAAGAAUUAUUGCUUUUGCCAUCCAAUGGCAUUUGUGAUGUAUUGUCAAAAGGCGGGAGUGGCAAAAGUGAGAUGUCAAAUUCUAGAAUGGCAUAAGCAAAAUGGGCAAAAACUAGAAUGGCAAAAACAAAGUUUUCCCUUUUUAAAUUGUUUUUAACGCCCAAUGAUCAUCUUAAAUUGUUUAUAAAAUGUUCGUCAUAUAUUCUUUUUUUAAAUGCACAAAUUCCGUGCUCCCGCCAAAAAAAGUGUCCUGCAAAAAAAAUACACAAAAUUGUAGCUCCUAAACUAUACAUUCAAAACCAAAUUUGUAAGUUGUAACUCCUAAACUAUAGAUUCAAAACUAAUUUUGUAGAUCGAACCAUGACAAUGCGUGAACUGAGAGGCAAGGAGUGAAGGAAAGGCACACCCCAUGUAUGCCUGCUGUUUAAUUUUCUUUUCCUGAUUUGUUUUAAUUCUGCUUUACCAAACAAGAAAACAAUCCCUGUUUCGUAGAGAUGCAUUGGCUUAUGUUGUGUGUGUAAUGUGCAGCGCCCAGACAAGACAAAAACUGGGCUGGAGAUGCAGGCCAACAUAGAACGCAUGGUCGUAACAGAAAACGAAAAUCAAAUGAACAAACAAUCAACAAGUCUGGGUGGGCUUGUUUUUUGAUGAUAUGUGCUGAAGUCAUUAUGUCACAUUUAGAUCUAGAUGUGCCAUAGACACACCCUAAUACAAAAUACUCCCUCCCUCCCUACCAGGUGCAGAGGUAAUACUAUGCGUCAGAUUAAUUAAUAAGGCCCACUCAUGACAGUGUAUGAUCCCAUGACACAAAUAUGUAGAGUAGUAAUUUGGUACUGUAAGUUCUCUUAUGGUGCAGACCCUUUUUUUUGUGGGUAUAUACUGAGUAGAAAAUAUGAUUCCUGGAUGUUUCAGACAAACUUUGCAUUCAAAUCUUCCAUGUUUCACAGAAAUUCUGUCACCGGUAAAAAUGUUUCUCAAAAUUCAGAUCAUGACAUCUUUCUCCAGCUCUCAUGAAACUCCAAACUGGAAAAUGGGCCUACUCCUACGGUGGGGAACCAAACCAGCGCUAGGAUUGGCUCCAUCGACCAAUGGCUUCUCCUACCCUAAUCCUAUCGCCAGCCUUGACGCAGAAGCCGAAAUCCGAAGAGACCGUCCUGUCCUCCCUCGCCUUGGACAGGGGCGCUUCAAAUACGACGACCACGGUCGACCCCAUGUGGAAUCCUGCUACCUGGAAAUGGCGGGACGGGCAUCAGAACUCUGCUACCUGGAAAUCCUGCUAUCAGUGAAAUGAAAACUGGGGCUGAGUUUACCUCUUGCCCCUUUUUAACCAUCAUGCCGGUGCCUUCGGGUUCAUAAACACGCUCAUCGUAAGGUUGGGAGUGAAGUGUCAUGGACCCUGGACUGUUUGUCCUCAGCUCCGGUUCAAUGAGCAGCUGAAAAGAGUAGAACAUCAGUAACAUAUGUAGAAAUCUAUCUGGCGCAUAAUUCGGUAUGGUGCAGAAGAGAUACUUUGAUGGAGCCAACAUUAGUAGCACCAACAGCUGCAAUUGCAACAAACCCUUCUUUCCAUUGACCCUCAAGUACUACCUGUCGUUAACAGUGACAGAUUCAGUAAGAACGGCAGUGCCAAUGAAAGAUUGAUGAUAAAUAGCUCAGCUAUAGUUCAUCAAUGUUUAUCACAGAAUGCUAGAAUAGGUAAGAUAGUGAAAUUACCCUUUCAUUCUCGAUAUAUAGAUUUCUGAUGGUCCGCACAGCACGUUCAUUUGUUGGGAAAAGAUUACCUAAAAACACAACAUGUUUGUAAUACUCAAGUUCCCUCAAAGUUUCACAGGUAUACUGCAGAACAGAAUAAACGCAAACCUGAGAAAUGUCGACGUUUGAAAAUAUUCCAAUCAACAGGAGAGUGAACUCGAUGAUAAUCACCAGGGUGCAAGUACAGGACACAAUAAAAGAUUCCUCUCUUUGGGCUGACAAGCAGGAGUUUAAGUUAAUAUCCACUAUUAGUUGAAAUGAGCGCCUUCAGUAACAUGUGCUGAGAAGCAUUUAACAGUACAAGUAAUACAUCAACUUGAAGAGACAAAGAGUACACAAAAGAAAAAUAAGUUUUGUAAAAAAAAUCUGAACAAUGACAGAAAAAGUUUUUGUUAGUGAGAAUCUGGAGAAGAAUAAUGCUACUACUAGGCUUGCAGCUUAGAGCAGUAUAUUGCAUUACAUGCAGCCAGAUUUCUGUUAAAAAACACAGAUGUCAUGGGCAAUCCCACAAGAACAGAGCCCAUGCAUGUACUAAAGCAAAUUUCAAGUGAAAAGGGUAUACUGGAACAUAAGUACAUGACAGUAAAUCAAACAUGACUGCAUAUAUGUACUUGGAAGCAUCAAUUAACAGGACAGCAUAUACAUCUCAAAUAUAAAGUGCACUUGUGAAAGGGCUUCUACAGGCAUGGUAGUCGCAACACUCAGAAGGCCAAAACAUCCCUACAAACCGAAGGGUUUCUAUGAUGCUUGUCUUUCCUAAACCAGCUUAUACAAUUAUCUCAGAUAUGUCACUUCUAAAUCUAAUUAUGAAUACCUCAGCAGUGUUCGAUCCCGAAGUUUAGGUGAAGCCACAGAUACUCGCCACCAUGAUUUUGCAUUCGAGCUCUCAGGCACAUUUUGUUCUGUUUGCUCUCCAGAAAUAUCUUUUUCUGUGGCAUCAUGAAGCGAUGAACUAGCACCAACAAGAGAAGAAACAGGAUAAGAAAAGCCUUUGACUUGCUCAAUCAUGGUUCCUGGACCCCUGAGCUGUCCAAGCCGCAAAACUUUCCCAUCGACAGGACUCACCUAAUUAUAGAAUUCCACACACAGAUCAGAUAAGUCUUGACUCUAUAACCAUCACCACAUUAGACAUAUAGCGGAAUAAUAUAUAGUUACCAGUUACCAGGCAAUUUGGAUCUGGAUCGAUAGGCCUUGACCCUUCUUUGAGACUGCGGAUGAAGAAUGCCUGCAAAGAAGGAUAUUCUUCCAGGGGCAGAGCAGGUUCUUGCAAAUCUACAGUAUGGAACAGUCAAUAUCUCGUUUGAAAGAUGAAAAAUGAAGUUUCCCAAAUAUAGGCAUAAUAAAUAUCAAGAGUUCAAACACAGUACAGACGAGAGAAGAAAAGCAGAUAUAUGCCACUAAGCACUAGUAGUUGCUUGAAAUUUUCUGAAGAACUUGUUUUGUUGGUAUUGCUACAUAUCAUCAGGGCUCAGACUUCUUGUACAUUAUAAACUUGAACAGACUAAUAUAUUAUUUUAUUUUUGCGGGUGAGAACAGACUAAUAUUAGAUGACAUAUUGCAAGAAUUAUAUGAUUUGGAAGGCAAGUCAACCAGAGACUGGAGAACUAAAUUUUCCUAACAGACUGUAGAUUAAGAAUUUUAUCACGACACAAGAAUACAUACUGGAGUGGAAUGCUCUGGCCCAUGCUUUGUAGAUAGCAGGACGCAUGAACACCGGAACCUCCUGCAAGAAAUUAAAUCAAUUCAUGAAUCGAGCAGCGGAAGAAUACAUACAGUUUCUGUAAAUACAGAGAAUACACACCACUUCCAUCAAGUAUCCCCAGACACGCGACAUCGAACGCAGUGGUAGAAGCCUCAGAAACGAAGCCUGUAAUUGAAAACGGCGUCAUUGCACAGCCACGGUGAUGAAUUCCAGACAAAAGCAAAUGGUUCCAGCAGUAACUAGAGUACCUUAAGGUCUGGCGAGAAUUCCGGCUCGAUUCCUUGCUCCUUCCUUUCGACAAGCUAUAGUAACUCAUGAAAGAAAGUGUCACGCACAUUGAACAAGAUGUCCAUGUUGAGGCUUUGCAUACACAUUGUUAAAGCUUGCACAGAUUACCUACCUGUUUGCCAUCGUACAUUCGCUUGGCGUGUAGAACGCCAAGCAUGAGAAGGACUGCUGCCGAGGCGCCGGGCAGAAGGAACUUGCCUGAAAACCGACAGGGGCAAGCACAAACAAUGUCAGCAGUGACACACCCUGAGAUGAUGGACGGGAAACACAAAACAGACGAAAAAAUUGACAGGCUUCAGAGAUGUAGUAGAGUGACUAAUUAAGCAACAUGUGUGGUUCAGUUGUAGUAUGACGCAGUAACGCGCUAGCAAAAUCAGUGGCGCGGAACUCGCUGCUCAAAUCGAAGCCCAAAGAGGAAAAGGGAGAGGCUAAAAUGGGCAGGACUGAUGGAGCAGGAAUCGCGGUCGGCAGCGGCAGUGCGGAGUCCGCGGGAGUCGUCCGGCCCGGUCCAGUGGAGUAGACUCUGCGAUGGUCGCUCACUACAGGGCCCGCCCGCCCGAACACCUAGCAGUAGCAGCAGCGUCCAUCUUGCAUCGAAUCAUGAGAGGUUUUCUCUGGUAGGUCGGGGCUUAGAGGGAUGACCGGGGUGGUGGCCAGCAACGGCGGUGGGAAAAGAGGUUGAGGGUGGCAAUGCUGUGUGCGGUAGCGCCCGUCGGGGGAUUGGUCAAGGUAUACCUGGCCAUGGACAGCCCAAGAUGCUUGCCAACAAACAGCACCCGCAGAAAAUGCUCAUAGCGGCAACUUUGCACAGGAAGGAUGCCAGCCAGCCAGCCAGCCAGCAAGCCUUUUGUGCACACUGCUCGGCUCGGCUCGGCGGACUGUUAACGGCGACCACCACACGAUUCAGUGACACUAACGCCUAGCAGUACAUGGCAGCCGCACAACACACAGCGGAUUUACCAACUCGAUCCUACAGUUAUCUGCACUGGUUCCGUCAGUCGGUCGGAGCAAGAUCCGCGGGCGCAUUCUCGGCUUUCUCCCCUUCCUAUGCUCCACCAGAAGAAGCCUCGUCGCGGGGGCCUACCCCGCAUAGUCGGGAUCCUCAUCGUCAUCAUCCGUCACGUCCUGCGGAGGACUAGACACCGCGGACGCGGCCUCCUCCUCCUCCUCCUCCUC